rnacentral:lncRNA from 1 species
UUCUCUUUGUUUUCUUUCUCUCAUUACUUCAAUCCAUUCUAACAACACAAGAGGGAGAAGCUCUUGUGAAAUGGAAGAAUAGCCUAGCCCCUUCUUCUUUUCUCGACUCUUGGUCACUCACCAAUCUCGAUAAUCUUUGCAACUGGACUGGCAUUACUUGUAACUCUGCAGGUUCAGUCUCUCUGAUUAACCUCUGUGAGAAACAACUUGAUGGAAUGCUGUCUGAGUUUGGUUUCACUUCAUUUCCAAAUCUCAACAAUCUCACCCUCGCAGUUAACAACUUCUCCGGUCCAAUACCAGCAGCCAUUGAGAAUUUAACAGAGCUUCGGUAUCUUGAUUUGAGCAAUAAUUAUCUAGAUGGUCCCAUUCCUUUCCAGGUUAGCCAUCUUCAGAGGUUGCUCAUCUUAAACCUGUCACGGAAUGCAUUGCAAGCUCUAAAUUGGUCCAAUUUCUCUCCCAUGCCUUUUUUGCGCAUCCUCAAGCUCAGUAGAAAUCAUCUUGCGUCGAAAUUCCCAAAUUUUAUAUCCAAUUCUCAUAGCCUGACUCACCUUGACCUUUCAUAUAACAUGUUUACCGGUGAUCUAGCAUGUGAACCAAUAUUUGCCAACCUGCAUAAGCUUGAAGUGCUUAGUCUCGUUGACAAUUCUUUUGAGGGGCCAUUUCCGCCAAAUAUAUUCAAGCUUUCCAAAUUAAAACGUCUUGCCCUGUCAGGUAACAAAUUUUCAGGUCCAAUUCCCAAUGACAUAAGGUUGCUUUGUGAUCUUGAAUCCCUAUAUUUAGGUAACAAUUCCUUUGAAGGACCGCUUCCACCAAAUAUAUUCAAGCUUUCAAAAUUAAAAGAUCUUGUUCUUUGGCGUAAUAAGUUUUCAGGUUAUAUUCCCAAUAGUAUAAAUUUGCUUUCGGCGCUUGAAGCCCUCGAUCUUUAUUCUAAUUUUUUUGAGGGGCCGCUUCCACCAAAUAUAUUCAAGCUCUCAAAACUAAGGAUUCUUUCCCUUGGGAACAAUAACUUUUCAGGUUCUGUCUCUAAUAAUAUAGGUUUGCUUCCUGAGCUUGAAACCCUAUAUCUUGACUCUAAUUUGUUUGAGGGGCCGCUUCCCCCACAUAUAUUCAAGCUCUCUAAAUUAAGAUAUCUAGACCUCUCAAACAAUAGAAAUUUAUUUGAAAGAAGUAUUCCUAUUGGAUUGGGACUCUUGACUAACCUCAACUAUUUAGAUCUACAUUCCAGUAAUCUCAGUGGCGAUAUUUCAUCUGCCAUUGGAAACCUGAAGCUACUAGUAUUUCUUGAUCUCAGUUUUAAUCAAUUGACCGGACCGCUUUCAAAGAUCGUUUCUAAUCUCACAAAUCUUAUAUAUCUUGAUGUAAGUCAUAAUAGUCUUAGUGGAAAUAUUAGUGACUUGUGGAAAUAUUAUUUGUCUGGGAACAUUCCUAAGGAAUAUAAGGAUCAUCCAACUUUGGAAUACAUCAAUUUAAGUGGGAACCAUUUUACAGGUAUGUUUUCUCUACAUAUCUUUUCCUUUUGUCAUAUUAACUAAGCUUGUAAUCUUUUUGUAGUUUUACCAAAGUUUCAACAAUCUUGACAGGUGAGCUUCCAACAACAAUUUGCAAUGUCACUUCCCUUUCGGUUCUUGAUUUGUCAAAUAAUGAAUUAAGUGGUGCACUUCCAAACUGUUUCGGGAAUCUUGCUGAUGGAUUGCUUUACAUUAAUCUUGCUAAUAAUCAGUUUCGAGGAACAAUACCAACUACUUUCUCCAGGAGUUGUCAGCUGACAUAUCUAAACAUGGAUAAUAAUGAGUUUGAAGGAUUGGUGCCCCCAUCUUUGGCGAACUGCAAGCACUUGAAAAUUCUUGAUAUUGGCAAUAAUAAAAUAGGUGGUACAUUCCCGUCAUGGCUUUAUGUACUUGGAGAGCUAGAAGUCCUUGUCUUGCGAUCAAAUAAACUCUAUGGUACAAUAAGUGGAAGGAGCAUAGAAGAUCCCUUCCCCAAGUUGCGGAUUGUGGAUCUGUCCGAUAAUCAAUUCACAGGCCAUUUGCCAAUUCAAUACUUUAAGAAUAUGAAAUCAACUGAUAAUAUGUAUAAUUAUCUGAAUUCCACAGGAGGAAUAUAUUUCACUUAUGAAGCAGCAGUCUCAUUAACAGUGAAGGGAACAGAGUAUGAAAUAGCAAAUAACCUUCAUAUUUACACAGCUAUUGAUCUGUCGUGCAACAAAUUUCAGGGUGAAAUUCCAAAAAUUAUUGGAGAGCUUAGAUGGCUUGCAUUGCUCAAUUUAUCGCACAAUAGUCUGACAGGACCUAUCCCAUCAUUGCUGAGAAAUAUGAAAGAACUCCAAUCUUUAGAUUUGUCCUCAAAUCAACUGACAGGGGCUAUUCCACCUCAGUUAACUGCGAUGACAUUUCUAGAGGUCUUAAACCUCUCGGGAAACCAUCUUAGUGGAGAGAUUCCUCAGAAAGGACAGUUCCGUCUUUGGCGAACUGCAAGCACUUGAAAAUUCUUGAUAUUGGCAAUAAUAAAAUAGGUGGUACAUUCCCGUCAUGGCUUUAUGUACUUGGAGAGCUAGAAGUCCUUGUCUUGCGAUCAAAUAAACUCUAUGGUACAAUAAGUGGAAGGAGCAUAGAAGAUCCCUUCCCCAAGUUGCGGAUUGUGGAUCUGUCCGAUAAUCAAUUCACAGGCCAUUUGCCAAUUCAAUACUUUAAGAAUAUGAAAUCAACUGAUAAUAUGUAUAAUUAUCUGAAUUCCACAGGAGGAAUAUAUUUCACUUAUGAAGCAGCAGUCUCAUUAACAGUGAAGGGAACAGAGUAUGAAAUAGCAAAUAACCUUCAUAUUUACACAGCUAUUGAUCUGUCGUGCAACAAAUUUCAGGGUGAAAUUCCAAAAAUUAUUGGAGAGCUUAGAUGGCUUGCAUUGCUCAAUUUAUCGCAUAAUAGUCUGACAGGACCUAUCCCAUCAUUGCUGAGAAAUAUGAAAGAACUCCAAUCUUUAGAUUUGUCCUCAAAUCAACUGACAGGGGCUAUUCCACCUCAGUUAACUGCAUUGACAUUUCUAGAGGUCUUAAACCUCUCGGGAAACCAUCUUAGUGGAGAGAUUCCUCAGAAAGGACAGUUCAGCACAUUCAAUAAUGAUUCUUAUCUAGGAAACUCCGCGUUAUGUGGAUUACCUUUGACGAAGAAAUGUGCAAACACGACAUCACCUCCACAAGAAGUCGGAAAUGGUGAUGAAGAUGAUGCUGGUGAUGAAUGGACAUGGGAAGCAAUCGUGAUGGGAUAUGGAUGUGGACUGAUAUGUGGAUUGUCAUCUGCGUACAUUGUUCUCAAACUAGGAAGGCCUUGGUGGUUUGUGAGAUAUGUCGAAGUAUUGCAACUGAAGUUGAUGAAAAGAUAUGCAUGAAGAAUGGUACUAUUGGUCGAUCAAGACGAACUUGAAAAAAGUUGUCCUGGUAGACAUUUCUGAACCAGUAGUAUACUAGCUGUAAGUAUUUGGUAUUAUGUAAUAAUCCGUUUGGUUGGGACUCAUAACGAUAUUUCUUGCUUCAGGGGUAUUAAUAUAAACCUUGGUAUUGUGUACUAGCUGUCUGUUUGGUCGUGACUCAUAAUCAUUUUUCUUGCUGGGUAUUAAUAUUAACCUUGUUAUCUUGAUCAAUGUUAAUGCAAAUUAAAAUGAAUGAAAAAACAAAAUAUAUGCAUCAAAUCCGCUGUUUGAAACAAUUUAAUAAUAAACUCGAGUUUUCCAGGACCGCACCAAAUCCACAUAUUCAAUAUCACACNNNNNNNNNNNNNNNNNNNNNNNNNNNNNNNNNNNNNNNNNNNNNNNNNNNNNNNNNNNNNNNNNNNNNNNNNNNNNNNNNNNNNNNNNNNNNNNNNNNNNNNNNNNNNNNNNNNNNNNNNNNNNNNNNNNNNNNNNNNNNNNNNNNNNNNNNNNNNNNNNNNNNNNNNNNNNNNNNNNNNNNNNNNNNNNNNNNNNNNNNNNNNNNNNNNNNNNNNNNNNNNNNNNNNNNNNNNNNNNNNNNNNNNNNNNNNNNNNNNNNNNNNNNNNNNNNNNNNNNNNNNNNNNNNNNNNNNNNNNNNNNNNNNNNNNNNNNNNNNNNNNNNNNNNNNNNNNNNNNNNNNNNNNNNNNNNNNNNNNNNNNNNNNNNNNNNNNNNNNNNNNNNNNNNNNNNNNNNNNNNNNNNNNNNNNNNNNNNNNNNNNNNNNNNNNNNNNNNNNNNNNNNNNNNNNNNNNNNNNNNNNNNNNNNNNNNNNNNNNNNNNNNNNNNNNNNNNNNNNNNNNNNNNNNNNNNNNNNNNNNNNNNNNNNNNNNNNNNNNNNNNNNNNNNNNNNNNNNNNNNNNNNNNNNNNNNNNNNNNNNNNNNNNNNNNNNNNNNNNNNNNNNNNNNNNNNNNNNNNNUACACCACAUUAAAUAAUAGUUCAAAAAUAUUCAAUAAAUAAUUGUUUUCAUUCAUAAUUUUGUUAUUUUAAAAACUAAUAAUUUCGUUGAUGUUAACCUAUAUUUUAAUAUAUAAUUAUAUUAUGUUCGUCUUAUUUUGUUUAACUAGAAAUAAUAUUUUUAUAAUAUUUAUUACAUUAAUUAGAUUAAAAGAUAUAUUUUAUUAAAAAAUUGAAUAAAAUUAAGAGGAUAACUGUAUGCCUCUCCAAGUCUACAAGACUCAUUUCAAGUCUACCGAGGACCACUGCCUCAACCUUUGAGUGAUGUGAAAGUAGCUUGAGAGUGACAUAAAUUAUUUUCCUGAUACUAAAAUUUACUAUUCAAUAUAAAUUAAUUAAAUUAGUUAAUAAUAAAUCAAAACUAAUCAUAAAUUAUGAUAAUAAUUAUAUAAAUUAUAAUUAAAUUAUAUAAAUCAACUCCAAAUGAUACAAAUAACACUAAACCUUAGUUAAUCUAUUGGUAAAUAAAUAUAAUAUAAUAAUCAAAUUGAUGAAAAAUCAAAAUCAUCUAAUAAAUUCACAAAAAUAUAUAAUCAUUUGUAUAUUAUAUUAGUAUCCACACACUUAUAUUUCAAAAUCUAUCCUCCAAAAUUAUCACUCCAUAAGCUAGCCACAUAAAAUAAAAAUUUAAAGAUAUGAGAUAUUUAGUUAUUUUCAUUAUAUAUAAUUUUUCCACACUAAAUAACAAAAUAUCUUUAUCAAUUUAUUUUUUAUGAGUUAAAUAUUCAAGUUAUAAAUCCAGCAUGCAGGUAUAAAUAGAAGUGUGCAGUAUGAUAUCAGAUUCAUAACCCAGUUGAUCAGGAGAAUCAUGGCAUACUCUGCAAAGACUUCUCACCUUCUUCUCUUUGUUUUCUUUCUCUCAUCACUUGAAUCCAUUCUUGCAACAACACGAGAGGGAGAAGCUCUUGUGAAAUGGAAGAAUAGCCUAGCCCCUUCUUCUUUUCUCGAUUCUUGGUCCCUCACCAAUCUCGAAAAUCUUUGUAACUGGACUGGCAUUACUUGUAACUCUGCAGGUUCAGUCUCUGAGAUUAACCUCUGUGAGAAACAACUUGAUGGAAUGCUGUCCGACUUCGGUUUCACUUCAUUUCCAAAUCUCAAGAAUCUCACCCUGGCAGACAACUUCUUCUCGGGUCCAAUACCACCAGCCAUUGAGAAUUUAACACAGCUUCAAUAUCUUGAUUUAAGCAUGAAUAGUCUCAAUGGUCCCAUUCCGUUCCAGGUUAGCCAUCUUCAGAGGUUGCUCAUAUUAAACCUGUCACAGAAUGCAUUGCAAGCUCCAAAUUGGUCCCAUUUCUCUCCCAUGCCUGUUUUGCGCUUCCUCAAGCUCAGUAGAAAUCCUCUUGUGUCGAAAUUCCCAAAUUUUAUAUCCAAUUCUCAUAGCCUGACUUAUCUCAACCUUUCACAUAACAAGUUUAGUGGUGAUCUUGUACGUGAAUCAGUAUUUACCAAUCUGCAUCAUCUUGAAGUCCUCAGUCUCGUUGACAAUUCUUUUGAGGGGCCAUUUCCGCCAAAUAUAUUCAAGCUUUCCAAAUUAAAACGUCUUGCCCUGUCAGGUAACAAAUUUUCAGGUCCAAUUCCCAAUGACAUAAGGUUGCUAUGUGAUCUUGAAUCCCUAUAUUUAGGCAACAAUUCCUUUGAAGGACCGCUUCCACCAAAUAUAUUCAAGCUUUCAAAAUUAAAACAUCUUGUUCUUUGGAGUAAUAAGUUUUCAGGUUCUGUUUCCAAUGAUAUAGGUUUGCUUUCUGAGCUUGAAAGCCUCGAUCUUAACUCUAAUUUUUUUAAGGGGCCGCUUCCGCCAAAUGUAUUCAAGCUCUCCAAACUAAGGUUUCUUUACCUCUGGGGUAAUAACUUUUCAGGUUCUGUUUCCAAUGAUAUAGGUUUGCUUUCUGAGCUUGAAACCCUCGAUCUUGAGUCUAAUUAUUUUGAGGGGCCGCUUCCGCCAAAUUUAUUCAAGCUCUCCAAACUAAAUUUUCUUUCCCUUCAGGAGAAUAACUUUUCAGGUUUUAUUUCCAAGGAUAUAGGUUUGCUUUUUGAACUUGAAACCCUCUAUCUUGGCUCUAAUUUUUUUGAGGGGCCGCUUCCCCCACAUGUAUUUAGGCUCUCCAAAUUAAGAGAUUUGGACCUCUCAGACAAUAGAAAUUUAUUUGAAGGAAGUAUUCCUAUUGGACUGGGACUCUUGACUAACCUCAGGUACUUAGAUCUAUAUUCCACUAAUCUCAGCGGCUAUAUUCCAUCUGACAUUGGAAACCUGAAGCUACUAGAAGUUCUUGUUAUCAGUUAUAAUCAAUUGAGUGGACAGCUUUCAAAGAUCAUUUCUAAUCUCACAAAUCUUAUAAUGCUUGAUGUAAGUGAUAAUAGUCUUAGUGGAAAUAUUCAGAGUGACUUGUGGAUACAUCCAACUUUGGAAUUCAUCGCUAUGGGUGGGAACCAUUUUACGGGUAUAGUUUUUCUCUAUAGAUCUUUUCCUUUUGUCUUAUUUAACUAAGCUAGUAAUCUGGUUAUUGCAGUUUUACCAAAGUUUCAACAAUCUUGACAGGUGAACUUCCAAACUGUUUGGGGAAUCUUGCUGAUGGAUUGCGUGUCAUUAAUCUUGCUAGUAAUCAGUUUCGAGGAACAGUACCAACUACUUUCUCCAGGAGUUGUCAGCUGACAUAUCUAAACAUGGAUAAUAAUGAGUUUGAAGGAUUGUUGCCCCCAUCUUUGGCGAAUUGUGAGCACUUGAAAAUUCUUGAUAUUGGCAAUAAUGAAAUAGGUGGUACAUUUCCGUCAUGGCUUUAUGCACUUGGAGAUCUAGAAGUCCUUGUCUUGAAAUCAAAUAAACUCUAUGGUACAAUAAGUGGAAGGAGCAGUGAAGAUCCCUUCCCCAAGUUGCGGAUUGUGGAUCUGUCCAACAAUCAAUUCACUGGUCAUUUGCCAAUUCAAUACUUUAAGAAUAUGAAAUCAACUGAUAAUUUGUAUAGCUAUCAGCAUUCCACAGGAGUUUUUUCUUUCCUUUAUGAAGCAGCAGUGUCGUUAACUUUGAAGGGAACAGAGUAUGAAGUAGCAAAGAACCUUCAUAUUUACACAGCCAUUGAUCUGUCGUGCAAUAAAUUUCAGGGAGAAAUUCCAAAGGUUACUGGAGAGCUUAGAUGGCUUGCAUUGCUCAAUUUAUCGCAUAAUAGUCUGACAGGACCUAUCCCAUCGUUGCUGAGAAAUAUGAAAGAACUCCAAUCUUUAGAUUUGUCCUCAAAUCAACUGACAGGGGUCAUUCCACCUCAGUUAACUGCAUUGACAUUUCUAGAGGUCUUAAACUUCUCGAAAAACCAUCUCAGUGGAGAGAUUCCUCAGAAAGGACAGUUCAGCACAUUCAAUAAUGAUUCUUAUCUUGGAAACUCUGCGUUAUGUGGAUCACCUUUGACGAAGAAAUGUGUAAACACUGUAUCACCUCCACAGGAAGUCGGAAAUGGUGAUGAAGAUGAUGCGGGUGAUGAAUUGACAUGGGAAGCAAUCGUGAUGGGAUAUGGAUGUGGACUGAUAUGUGGAUUGUCAUCUGCGUACAUUGUUCUCAAACUAGGAAGGCCUUGGUGGUUUGUGAGAUAUAUCGAAGUACUGCAACUGAAGUUGAUGAAAAGAUAUGCAUGAAGAAAGGUACUGGUCGAUCAAGACGAAUUUGAAAGUUGUUGUCCUUGUGGACAUUUCUGAACCUGUAGUGUACUAGCUGCAUAAGUAUUUGGUAUUAUGUAAUAAUCCGUUUGGUCGGGACUCAUAAUGAUUUCUCUUGCUUCAGGGGUAUUUAUAUUAACCUUGGUAUUGUGUCCUAGCUGUAAUAUACUGUUUGGUCGGGACUCAUAAUCAUAUUUCUUGCUGGGUAUUAAUAUUAACCUUGUUAUCUUGAUCUAUGUUAAUGCAAAUUAAAGUGAAUGAAAAAACAAAAAAAUAUGCAUCAAAUCCGCUGUUUGAAACAAUUCAAUAAUAAACUCGAGUUUUCCAGGACCAAAUCCACAUAUUCAAUAUCACACUCUUCCUGUGAGGAAACAAAUAUGGAGAAACAUUUCUGUUUACAAAACUUUUACCAUUAUACACUCUUAUAGUACUGGUUAAGAGUUCCUAAACUAAAAUUAUCAGUUCUAUGUGAGUAUGCUUUCAAAUAAGAAUUCGUUGUUCCGCCUAGUCCAAAACUACUCUAAAACUAUAUCGCUGGUAGUCUUUCAGUUCAUCCUACUGUAUGCAAUAGUUUCAUACAUAGGUAACUCGGCCUUGUGUGGACUUCCUUUGACAAAAAAGGGUUAAUAGGCUAAAACAUAAUCGAACUGACCCAAAACUUGCAACAAAUAGGAAGGCCUUGGUGGUUUGUGAGAUACAUCGAAGUGCUGCAACUUAAGUUGAUGUUAUGAAGAACUAAAAAUAUUGUUCCGUCAAGACCAACAACUUGAAAAUGUGUUCUGAAUCUGUAAUAAUAUUAAAAUAUUAUAAUAUAAUUCAUUUAACACUAUCAUCCGAUCAAUUUAAUUUAUUAUCAUUUAGUCAAUAUAUAUAGAUGGAUAUGAAUUGUCUUCCCUCGAACUUUGAGUUGUCAUAGUCCUUAAACAUAUUAAACACUUUGAAAAUUUGUUUCUGCAAGUCUAAAUUGUAGACAACACUUUCAAAGUUAGUUGCCGAAUAGACUCAUUUUGAAAAAAUUGGUUAGAUUCCGGAUAAAUUCAUUAAUCAGAAUUAAAUAUUUCAUGACCCUAACUCAAUCUGUUGUAAAUUGAUGUUGAGUUCAGGUAACACUGGCAGGUAUAAGGCAUAUAAAUAGCAGUCUCAUUAAUUGUGAAGGGAACAGAGUAUGAAGUAAGAAAUAACCUUCAUAUUUACACAGCCAUUGAUCUGUCGUGCAACAAAUGUCUGGGAGAAAUUCCAAAGGUUACUGGAGAGAGCUUAGAUGGCUUGCGAUUGCUCAAUUUAUCUCAUAAUAGUCUUUUUUUGAAAAAAGAAAAUAAUUCAAUAAUGAAAAAUCAUACUAAAUCCACAGAUAUAAUCGAAAUUGAACAAACGCAGAAUCAUAUCACCAUUGAAUCCUUCAGAGACGGCGGCUACUUCAAGGUGAGAGAAAUUUAGGGUUUUGCUUCUUAUCUCUAAAAUAGUUAAUUGAAGAGUCAUCUCAUAAUAGUCUUUGAAGUAUUACUAGGGAAAAUAUAUCUUCAUAAUGAAAAAUAAUUAUCAUUUUAAAAAAAAUUCACGAUAGAGGGGCCAUUUGGAUGAGUUUAAAUAAGUGCUUUUGGUAAAAUUUAAGUUCUUUAAUUUCCAAUUGUUUUAGAAGUUUAAUUAGUAAUUAAUAACAUGUGUACGGUUGGAGUUUUUUUGAGUCUAGCGGUGAUAGUUGUUUGAAAAACUGAUAUACAAGUCUAACAAAGUUUAAGUUAAAUAACUUUAAUUCAUAACUAUUUUGUUACCAAUCUACCAUUUCUUGUGUUUGGGUCUUUUUAAUAUAUGUUGCUACUUUAUGGGUAAUAUCUUUAUCUUCGAAGGAGUUUGUGUUUGUCACUUUGUCAUAACAAUGUCACUACCAUCUCUUUCAUUUUGUAAAAAUCUUAUAUAUAGUGAAUGAUAGCUUGAACUCCUUAUUUAUUUCAAUUAUGAAACAUGAUAUAGAUUUUAUAGAGUUAUUUUACAAAUUAAAUUGUUUGACUUCUUAGUAAAGGAUGUCAAUAAUGUUCAACCUAGUACGUAAUAUGUGUAAUCCGAAAUGAUAUUGUUGUCUGUUCUUUCUACUUUAUGGAUUAUAUCGCUGAUACCAGUAAUUUUAUGCUUCACUGCAUGAUGCAGCUCUCAUGUUAUUAACAGCUAAACUCGUGCCAACACUUUGCGAUGCAAAAUAGUGGCACAAAAGUAUUUUCAUAUGUGUAUUUAUUCGGAAAAUACGUGUAUUUAUUCGGAUAUUAAAGUUAGUAUGGACAUUUGUGUUGAUAAUUUGAGCCCUCUUCUCUUCCAAGUCUUGGGCGGACUCUUUCCAAGUCUCCUGAGGACCCAUAGGCUCAAAUUAGUCCAUUAAAAUUUAUGAUCUGAAAGCUCUCUGCGCACUAAUUUCUCCGCCAAACGAAAAAUCAACAUUUCAUGUACUAACUAUUUCCAUAAUAAUUAACAAGUAUAAAUCAUAUAUAUUUUUCCAUAGAACAUAAAUAGAUGGGGUACUAACAAAACCUCUAGUCAAAUUAAUUAAUACCGUUAUGAUUUCGCAAACACAGCAGACAGCAGGCGUAAGGCUAGCUUAUAAAUAGAAGUGUAGUAUUGGGUUGAUGGUCAAGUUGAGUGGAAGUAUGGCACACUUUGUAAAGCCUUGUUAUCCUCUUCUCUUUGUUUUCUUUCUCUCAUUACUUCAAUCCAUUCUAACAACACAAGAGGGAGAAGCUCUUUUGAAAUGGAAGAAUAGCCUAGCCCCUUCUUCUUUUCUCGACUCUUGGUCCCUCACCAAUCUCGAUAAUCUUUGUAACUGGACUGGCAUUACCUGUAACUCUGCAGGUUCAGUCUCUAAGAUUAACCUUUUUGAGAAACAACUUGAUGGAAUGUUGUCCGAGUUUGGUUACACUUCAUUUCCAAAUCUCAACAAUCUCACCCUCGCAUACAACUUCUUCUCGGGUCCAAUACCACCAGCCAUUGAGAAUUUAACACAGCUUCAGUAUCUGGAUUUUAGCAAUAAUUAUCUAGAUGGUCCCAUUCCGUUCCAGGUUAGUCAUCUUCAGAGCUUGCUCAUCUUAAACCUGUCACAAAAUGCAUUGCAAGCUCCAAAUUGGUCCCAUUUCUCUCCCAUGCCUUUUUUGCGCAUCCUCAACCUCAGUCACAAUCCUCUUUCGUCGAAAUUCCCAAAUUUUAUAUCCAAUUCUCAUAGCCUGACUCACCUUAGCCUUAAUUAUAACGAGUUUACUGGUGAUUUAGUAAGUGAAUCAAUAUUUGCCAAUCUGCAUAAUCUUCAAGUCCUCAGUCUUGUUGGCAAUUCUUUUGAGGGGUCAUUUCCGCCAGAUAUAUUCAAGCUUUCCAAAUUAAAACAUCUUAGCCUGUCACGUAACAAAUUCUCAGGUUCAAUUCCCAAUGACAUAAGGUUGCUUUGUGAUCUUGAAUACCUAUAUUUAGGCAACAAUUCCUUUGAAGGACCGCUUCCACCAAAUAUAUUCAAGCUUUCAAAAUUAAAACAUCUUUUUCUUUGGGGUAAUAAGUUUUCAGGUUCUGUUUCCAAUGAUAUAGGUUUGCUUUCUGAGCUUGAAACCCUCGAUCUUCGCUCUAAUUUUUUUGAGGGGACACUUCCGCCAAAUUUAUUCAAGCUCUCCAAACUAAAGAUUCUUUCCCUUUAUGAGAACAACUUUUCAGGUUUUAUUUCUAAGGAUAUAGGUUUGCUUUCUGAGCUUGAAAGCCUCGAUCUUGGCUCUAAUUUUUUUGAGGGGCCGCUUCCCCCACAUAUAUUUAGGCUCUCCAAAUUAAGAGAUCUGGGUCUCUCAGACAAUAGAAAUUUAUUUGAAGGAAGUAUUCCUAUUGGACUGGGACUCUUGACUAACCUCAUGUUCUUAGAUCUAUAUUCCAGUAAUCUCAGUGGCUAUAUUCCAUCUGAAAUUGGAAACCUGAAGCUACUAGUACUUCUUGAUCUCCGUUCUAAUCAAUUUACUGGACCGCUUUCAAAGAUCAUUUCUAAUCUCACAAAUCUUAUAUUUCUUGAUGUAAGUUAUAAUAGUCUUAGUGGAAAUAUUCAGAGUGACUUGUGGAUAUAUAACGAUCAUCCAACUUUGGAAUUCAUCAAUUUAGGUGGGAACCAUUUUACAGGUAUGUUUUCUCUAUAUAUCUUUUCCUUUGGUCAUAUUAACUAAGCUUGUAACCAAAGUUUCAACAAUCUUGACAGGUGAGCUUCCAACAACAAUUUGCAAUGUCACUUCCCUUUCGGUUCUUGAUUUGUCAAAUAAUGAAUUAAGUGGUGCACUUCCAAACUGUUUGGGGAAUCUUGCUGAUGGAUUGCUUUUCAUUAAUCUUGCUAAUAAUCAGUUUCGAGGAACAGUACCAACUACUUUCUCCAGGAGUUGUCAGCUGACAUAUCUAAACAUGGAUAAUAAUGAGUUUGAAGGAUUGUUGCCCCCGUCUUUGGAAAACUGUAAGCACUUGAGAAUUCUUGAUAUGGGCAACAAUAAAAUAGGUGGUACAUUUCCGUCAUGGCUUUAUGUACUUGGAGAGCUAGAAGUCCUUGUCUUGCGAUCAAAUAAACUCUAUGGUACAAUAAGUGCAAGGAGCAUAGAAGAUCCCUUCCCCAAGUUGCGGAUUGUGGAUCUAUCCAAUAAUCAAUUCACGGGCCAUUUGCCAAUUCAAUACUUUAAGAAUAUGAAAUCAACUGAUAAUUUGUAUAGUUAUGAGAAUGACAGAGGAAUAUAUUAUGCAUAUGAUGAAGCAGCAGUCCCAUUAACUGUGAAGGGAACAGAGUAUGAAGUAAGAAAUAAUCUUCAUAUUUACACAAUCAUUGAUCUGUCCUGCAACAAAUUUCUGGGAGAAAUUCCAAAGGUUACUGGAGAGCUUAUAUGGCUUGCAUUGCUCAACUUAUCUCAUAAUAGUCUAACAGGACCUAUCCCAUCAUUGCUGAGAAAUAUGAAAGAACUCCAAUCUUUAGAUUUGUCUUCAAAUCAACUGACAGGGGCUAUUCCACCUCAGUUAACUGCAUUGACAUAUCUAGAGGUCUUGAACCUCUCGGGAAACCAUCUUAGUGGAGAGAUUCCUCAGAAAGGACAGUUCAGCACAUUCAACAAUGAUUCUUAUCUAGGAAACUCCGCGUUAUGUGGAUCACCAUUGACGAAGAAAUGUGCAAACACAGCAUCACCUCCACAAGAAGUCGGAAAUGUUGAUGAAGAUGAUGCGGGUGAUGAAUUGACAUGGGAAGCAAUCUUGAUGGGAUAUGGAUGUGGACUAAUAUGUGGAUUGUCAUCCGCGUACAUUGUUCUCAAACUAGGAAAGCCUUGGUGGUUUGUGAGAUAUAUCGAAGUGCUGCAACUGAAGUUGAUGAAAAGAUAUGCAUGAAGAAUGGUACUGGCCAAUCAAGACCAACUUGAAAGUUGUUGGACAUUUCUGAACCAGUAGUGUACUAUUCUCUUUGUGGCUGCAUAAGUUUUUGGUAUUGUGUAAUAUUCUGUUUGGUCUUGAAUUUCAGGGGUAUUAAUAUAAACCUUGGUAUUGUGUAAUAUUCUGUUUGAUCAAUGUUUAUAUCAAUAAUUUUAUGCUACUCACGUACUGCAUCAUGCAGCUCUCAUAUUAUCUUCAUAUGUGUAUUAUUUGGAUAUCAAAGUUGCAGGGACAUAUGGAUAUGUGUUAACAGGGACCGCUCCCAAGUAGGGGUGAGCAAAAUCGAACCGGAACCGAAAAAUCGAACCGAACUGCGUAAAUUCAGUUCGGUUCGGUCCUAAUUUUCUGAAAAUUCGAUCCAUUCGGUCAGGACCGAAUACACCGAAAUAAAGUUCGGUCCGGUUCGAUCCGUAAAAAAAUAUUUCGGUCCGGACCGAAUAGACCGAACAGUCCAAAAUAUAUAUAAUUUAUAUUUAUAUUUAUAUUAUAUAUAUCUUAAAUGUUAUAAUUAUAAUAUCUAAUUUGUAAAUUUAAUUAUGAAAAAUGAUAUAAAAUUAUGUGUUAUAUCUUAUAUAUAUAUAUAGAGGGUUACUCCAGUGAGAACUUCUUAAAAUGAGAACCGUGAGAACUUCUUUAAUUUAUCAUAUUUUGAUUAAUCUAAACAUCAAACUAGUGGGUAUCCAAUAUAAAAAGUGUAUAUAAAACUAGUCUCUCCCUAACUAGUCAAAAAAAAAAUUCAAAAAAAAAUUUUAAAAAAAGAAAGUCCACUGCCACGUCAUCAGUGAUUUUUUUUAUUUUUUUUUUAAUUUUUUUUUUCGGCUAGCUAGGUGGAGAUCUUAAUUAUAUACAUUUUUUGUGAAGGUGCCCCUGGCGGGGCCCUUCAUAUAUGUACUUUUCAUAAAUUAUAAAUUAUUGUUUUAAAUAUAUCGAAAUGAUUUCUAUAGAAAUUUAAAUUGUAUGUUUAAAUAAUUUUUUUGAGUGACUUAUGAGUUAUAAAAAGGAUGAUAAUAAAAAUAAAUUUGAUAUGUUAUUUAUACGAGUAAUGAAAUUGAUUUUUGUUAAAAUUUAUAAUGAUGGAAUAAGUUAUUCAGAAAAAUAAAUCUUAUUUAUUUAGAGAUGACAUAUUUUAAUUUUAGAUCAAUUUUUUUCUCACUAAAAAAUUAUUUUAAAAUCAAAAAUAAAUUAAAUGUCUUCGCAUUUAUGCAAACAUGCUCUAAAUUAUGCGCAAUAUUAGCAAUCAGUGACUGAUACACGUGCUGAACCUUCCGAAGAUUUCUGGUCAAAAAUAUCCGUGACCCUUUGAGGAAUACAGGAAUAAUCACACAGCUGGCUUACCAUCUGCACCCAAUUAAUACGGACAACAGUACAUUUAUUAGACUAGAUUUUCAAAAUUUUCAAUAAUAGUAUUAUAUUAUUAUCGGUUUUUCUAGUGAAUGCUCAUGGGCACACACUAAACACCAAAUUUUAUAAAUUUGGUGGUUUUUGAUUGACUCAUGCUUGUUUAUAAUGGUAGAGCCUCCUCAAAUUCACCGACCACACCAAUUAAAAUCCACCAAAAUUAUAGAAUUUGGUACUUAGCAUGUGCUCAUGGCACACACUACAUAAACCCUAUUAUUAUACCUAUUUGAAUUUUUAAAUGAGGGCAUAUAGAAUUUAGAUAUUUAUUUAAAAUUUGUAGUUCGAUUUAGGACCUUAAAUGAAUAUAUUUGAAAUCUCCAAACUUGUAUUAAUAUUUACUUGUGUUUGACUAUAAUAAAAGUUUAUAUUAUAUAUAUAUUAGAUACCUAACACUCCAUGGCAUACGCUCUUAUAUGAAGUUUCAUAGUAUAUCACUGUGCAUAAUAUAUCUAUUAUAUUUUUUAUGAAAUAGAAUUACAAAUUUUUAUUAUUAAAUCGAAAACGAAGUUAUAUAAUUUUUUUAUUCCAAAAGUCAUAUAAAAUUAUCUCAACAUGAUUUUAUAACAGAAUAAUAAUCAUCCAGAAUUAUUUUAAUGUGGAAUCAAUACGUAAAUAAACUUUUUUCUUCAAAUUUUAAGUGUUAAAUUACUUAUAAUAGAUAUAUGUUAUAGUAUUAUAUAUUAGAAUCAUGUUUUAUAUGUAUUCUAUAAUAGAAUUUGUACUAAAUUUGAUGAUUUAUAAUGGUGUACUAUGUAAAUCCAUAUAAUAACUACCUCCGUCCAAUGUUAACCUAUAUACAUAUAUAGGAAUAGGAUCAAAUAAUAUUUUUAAGUUACAAAGUUACAAACUUUUUUUUUGAAUUUUUUUAUUCUCCUAUCGUGUUUAAUCCUUAGUUAUAGAAGUAUCCAUGUUGAAAAUUAUUGAAAAAAUCACAAUUUUUAAAAAUAACGCAUAAAUAAAUCGUGCAUUUAACACAUCUAUAACUGUGGUUCAACAUCGGGUGUAGAACACUAAUUAUCAUUGUAUUGAAUAUAACCAUAAAUAUAUUUAAACUAUGUCUUUGGAGUUUGGGUAGGGUCUAGAAAUAUAAAUAUUAGUUAUAUAAUACGUUUAACUUAGUUCUUAUACUGAAAAAUUAGUUUUUGUAUUUCUCCAACACAAUCGAUGUUUAACAAAAUAUGUUAAAAAAUGUUGAACUCAAAUUAUAUAUAUGAUGAACGCAUAAAAUUUGUAAGUUUGUAAGACUCUUCAAUUAUUUAGGUUUUGGUUGCAUAGGAAGAUAGAAUGAGAAAAGGUUUCACAUUCAAUAUUUUAAAUAACGGUUUUUCUCGUGAGUGCCCAUGAGCACAUGUUAAGCACUGAGAUUCAUAAGUUUGGGUGAUUUUGAUUGGCUACUACUUCUUUAUAAUGGUGGAUCCCCCUACAAAUUCACCAACCACACCAAUCAAAAUCUACCAAACUUAUAAAAUUUGGUGUUUAAGAUGACGUUUGAAUGAGUUUAAAAUUAUGACUUUAUUUAAGAUGAUUUAGGAAACGUUUGAGUGAGGUUAAAAUAAGUGUUUCUUGAUUAAGGUAAAAAAAUGAAAUAGAAGUUAAAAACAAGUUAAGACUUAUAAGUGAUUAAAGUGUUUAGAAAAGAGGUAAAAGCUAGAAUUUGUAACUUUUAAAAAGUGUUUUUGUAUUUUUACACAAACAGGUCAAGAAAAACAGAAGCAAGACUUCUUAGAACGAAAGCACUUCUUUUGCUUGGCCAAACAAGCACUUAAUAUAAUAAUAUGUAAGUUAAAACUAAUUUGUGAUUAAAAAAAAAUAAAACAAUCUGCGAGUUAAAACUGACUGAUUGAAAAUUUUUGACUUAUUAAUAAUUUAUGAGUUGUUAAAAAUAUAAUAAUGAAAAUAAAAGUGAUUUAUGGAUAAUUUAUAACUUAUGAGUAACUGCUAUUAAAAAAAUUAAUUUUCAAAAUUUGUUGACAUAUUUGAUAAUUUUCUAUCAGUUAUGUUUUGUACUUAAUUCUGUUUUUAGAAAUAACAAUUUCAUGAAAACGACCAAUCAGACAGGCACUUGCCAAACUUCUGGUGACCAUAAUUCUUAUCUUAUCAUAUAGUAGUAUUUUAAAAUUAUUCGGAAAUAGAUAAAUUUAAUUGUUUGUAGUUGACAGGAAUAACACAGUUCAAGUCGCAUCAAAGAAAGAAAAGAAUUAAAUGCAUUUCAUUUCGAAUCACUUGUCGGCAUUCUUUUCUUCUGGUAUGCAAAUAAUUUAAUUUACUUUUCACAAAUAAAUAUAAAAACAAAUGCGCACCUACUUAUUAGCGGCCUGCACUGUAGAGUUCAACCGUACUGCAAAGUGGUCCAAGUUUGUUUGUUUAAAUCGUAAAUAUGUUAAAAUUAUGGGGCCAAACUGGUCUAGUCACUUAAUAAAUUAAAAUUAAAAUUUUAAAAAUAAAUAAAAUUUAUGAAUUUCGAUACUAUAAGUACUAAUUCAGUUUUAAUAUAAAAUAAAUUGUAAAAUUAACGUAUCAAGAUUUAAUUAUUUUCUUUCUCAAGAUAUUUGGUAAAAUCUUGGAUUCAUGUUUUCACCGAAAAAGCUCCGCUGAAAAGUACGGUUACAAUAUGAAUAUAUCUCGAUAUUUUAAACUUCAUUUCACUUAAUCUAAAAAUAAUAAUUAUAAGAAAAUUUAAUUAUUGAAUCCUUAACACAAAGUUUAACUACCGAAAAAAAGGCUUAUUAUAAAGGCGUUCUAUUUGGGAGGAAUCUUGUCAUUUUAAAGGCCCAACGCAAUAACCGUAACCAGGCCUUAACUAAGCCCAGUUGUAAUACCUUUAUAUUCUUAGUAGCAAGCAGUGUUGUAAAAAGCGGGAAUCGGACAUCGGUGAAGUUACGGAACAAGGAUUAAUCGAGGAUUAAUUGAAUUGAUCAGGGAUUAAUCGGAUUGAUCGGUGAUUAAUCGGAGAUUUAAUCAGUUCGGCGAGCUACGAAACAAGGAUUAAUCAGUGAUUAAUCGUGAUUAAUCACCGAAUUUUGGAACAGAGGUAGCAAGUAGCAAAUACUUGGCGGGUUUUGAAAUAUUAGUUUUAUUAAAAAAUUAUACUAAAAAAACCCUAUAAACAAUUGAGAUACCACCACGGAAACAACCCAUUGGUCAAAGGCCACCGGUCCACCAGUCCGGAGAUCUUCUUCCAACUGUGUUUAACCAAACAAACCAAUGCUUAAUUAAAUGCCGUUCACACGUUAAUAAAUUAUUAUGAUGCUGAGUCUAUGAUAUUACUGGCAUGAAAACACAGUUUCGUUUUAGAUAAUAUGAGUAUGAUAAUAUUUAUAUAUUGUGUGUGAUCAUAUUCUUUAAAGUAUGAAUUCUAUUUUUUUAAUUCUUUAAUAAAAUAUGUGGAUAUGAAAUGUAAUAUUUGUAACCUAAUUAACAUUAAAUAAUAAUAAAAUAUUGAUAAAUAAAAUAACAAUAAAUUUAAUACUAAUAUCAAAAUCAAUCCAGUUAUUGUACAUAUUACAAGAAUAAAACUUUUUAACUCCAUCAUCAAAAUACAUAAUAAUAAUGUGUAUUUAAAUAUUUAUUGUUAAAUAUAAUCAGUAUUGAACAGAUUAUCUAUAAACAAAUAAAAAAAAUUAAGGUUACAUUAGUUUUAAAUUUUAGAUUUUGAAUAUAAUAGUAAGUCAAUUGUCACAUUUCUAAAUUACACAUAUAAUAGAGCAUAACAGUUAAACAAACUUAUUAUUCUACUAUUUGAUCAAUGGUCAAUUGACCAACUAACUGGAAUAACUAUAGUAAUAAUAAUUGAAUUAUUAGAUUUCAGUCAAUGUACUUAUAAUCUUAUGUUAAGUUGUUUCAUACAGUCGGUUGUUUUAAUAACUAGAUUUGCUAAGAAAACAGAUCAAAGGGGAGCUGUAUGAUUAAGGUCAACUAAUCCAAAUGAUUAAACAUCAUUUCCGGUCUAUAACUUGUCUAAUCCUUAAGACCAAAUCUGGCUUUGAGUUUGUGUAGAUAGACUCUGAAGUUCCUGCAAGAAAUCUGAGAAAUCUGGUCAUGCUGACCCAAGAUUUUCAUUUACGUCAUAUUAAAAACUUUUUAAUAUUCUUAAAUUAUUCUCCUAUAAACAGUGUUGUAAAAAGCGGGAAUCGGACUUAAUCGGUAAAGUCACGGAACAAGGAUUAAUCGGGGAUUAAUUGAAUUGAUCGGUGAUUAAUCGGAGAUUUAAUCAGUUCGGCGAACUACGCAACAGAGAUUAAUCGGUGAUUAAUCGUGAUUAAUCAGCGAUUUUUAGAACAGAGCCUAUAAACAGAAGUGUGCAUUGUAGUUUAAACGCAGUAUCUAGCAUCAAUUUUCAUGUUAAGUGCAAGCAUGACAUACUUUAAAAACCCCUGUUAUCACCUUCUAUCUGUUGUAUUUUUUCUCCUGCUAUUUCCAUCGAUCCCCGCGACAAGAGAAGAAGGAGAAGCUCUAGUGAACUGGAAGAACAGCCUAUCCCCGUCCUCGUUCUUCGAAUCUUGGUCCUCAGCCAAUCUCAACAAUCUUUGUAACUGGACUGGCAUUACCUGCAACUCCGAGGCCUCAGUAUCUGAAAUCAACCUUUCGGAAAAACAACUCCAAGGAACGCUUGCUGAGUUCCGCUUCAAUUUGUUACCAAGUCUAAAAACUUUUACCAUCAGCCGUAACAACUUCACUGGUCCAAUUCCAUCAGAUAUUGGAAAUUCAACUGAGCUUCAAUACGUCGAUUUUAGCUUUAAUUUUCUCAAUGGUUCUAUACCAUAUCAGGUUAGUCAUCUUCAGAGGUUGCGCGCCUUAGACCUGUCAUAUAAUCUCCUGGAAUCUCCAAAUUGGUCCGAGUUUUCGCCCAUUCCUUCCUUGACUAAACUUUAUCUCAGAUCAAAUAAUCUUGCCUCCAAAUUUCCAGGAUUUAUAUCCAGUUGUCAGAGCCUGACAUAUCUUGAUCUUUCACAUAACUUCAUAACAGGCGAUCUCGCGCAAGAAUCAUUAUUUGACAAACUGAUACAUCUUGAAUCCUUCUCUAUUCGUAAUAAUUCUAUUGAGGGGCCGUUUCCACCAAGUAUAUUUCCUCUUUCCAAAUUACGAUUUCUUGACCUAUCAAGAAAUAACUUUUCAGGUUCUAUUCCCCGGAAUAUAGGAUUGCUUCGUGAUCUUGAAUAUCUCAGCUUAUUUUUUAAUUCAUUCGAAGGAAGCAUACCUUCAUCUAUUGGUCUACUUAGGAAGCUUCAAUUACUAGAUAUCGGAUAUAAUUAUUUAAAUUCCUGUAUUCCUCGUGAAAUCGGGCUUUUGACUAAUCUCAGCGAAUUAUAUCUCAAUGUCAAUAGUCUUACUGGCAAAAUUCCUUCUGAGCUCGGCCUCUUGACUAAGCUCAACUAUAUAAUUCUUUUUUCCAAUAAUCUGACCGGAGAUAUUCCAUCUGAAAUCGGAAACCUGAAGCUACUGACUCGGCUUCUCCUCGGGUCUAAUCAUUUGACUGGAUCGGUUGCAAACUCCAUUUCUAAUCUCAGUAAUCUAGAGUUUCUUGGUCUACCUAAUAACAGAUUUUCUGGAAAUAUUCCUAGUGACUUCUGGAAAAAAUAUAAAUCGUUAUUAUACAUCGACUCCAGGAACAACAAUUUGUCAGGAAGCAUUCAGGGAUUUGAUGCUAAUCUGAAUCUUACUUUCAUUAAUCUGAGCGGAAACCAUCUUACAGGUAUACUUUUUCACCUUAUUUUACUCCCUCCACUUUGAAAUAUACUUCGUUUGACUUUUUGGCACACGUUUCCAAGUCCUUUGACCUUAUUAUUAAGAUAAUUAUUUUUAAAGUAUUAUAUUUUUGAAUUAUUAUAUGGUCGUGUCAAAAAAUCAAACUACAUGUAUUUCAAAACAGAGGGAGUACUUUAUUUGAACGCUAAUGAAUCGGUUAGAAAUUGACUAAAGUUUCUACAUUUUAACAGGUGAGAUUCCUGCAACUAUUUGCAAUGUCACAUCCCUUGAGAUUCUUGAUCUCUCGGACAAUGGAUUAAGCGGUGCACUUCCACGUUGUCUGGGAAAGCUUGCUGAUAAUCUGCAUACCAUGGUUCUUGGUAAUAAUCAGCUUCAAGGGACAAUACCAGCAACCUUCACCAAGAGCUGUCACCUAGCAGUUUUAAACACGGAAAGCAAUCACUUUGAAGGAACGCUGCCCCAAGCUUUAUCAAACUGCAAGGACUUAAAAAUUCUUAAUAUGGGAAACAACCACAUUGGAGGUAUAUUUCCGUCAUGGCUAAGUACUCUUGCACAGCUAGAAGUCCUUGUCUUUCGAUCAAAUAGACUUCACGGUGAAGUAAGUAUAGGUAAUACAACACGUCCCUUCCUUAAGUUGCGAAUUGUGGAUCUCUCUAACAAUGAAUUCACUGGCCAUUUGCCUAUUCAGUAUUUUUAUAAUAUGAGGCCGAGUAAUAAGGGAUAUGAUUAUGUCAUUACAAAAGAGAAUUUCGAGUACUUUUACCAAGCAUCAGUCUCACUAAGUGUAAAAGGGACAGAGUAUGAAGUGAAACAAAUCCUUUAUAUUUACACAGCCAUUGAUCUGUCGCGCAACAAAUUUCAAGGGGAAAUUCCAGAGGUCACUGGAGAGCUUAGAUCGCUUGCGUUGCUAAAUCUAUCUCAUAAUAGUCUUACAGGGCCUAUCCCGUCAUUGUUGGGGAAUAUGGAAGCACUCCAGUCUUUAGAUUUGUCAUCAAACCAAUUGACAGGUGCUAUACCUGAGCAGUUAACUACUUUGACAUUUAUUGGGGCCUUGAACCUUUCAGAAAACCAUCUUACUGGAGAAAUCCCUCAAAAAGGACAGUUCAGUACUUUUGGCAACGAUUCAUACUUGGGUAACCCGGCCUUAUGCGGACUUCCUUUAACAAAGAAAUGUAGGCACACGUUGCCACCAACACAAGAAAUCCUAAAUGGUGAUGAAGAUGAUGCUAAUGAUGAACUCAGUUGGGAGGUGAUCCUGAUAGGGUAUGCAUGUGGAUUGAUAUGCGGAUUAUCUUUUGGGUACAUUGUUUUCACCAUGGGAAAGCCUUGGUGGUUUGUGAGAUACGUCGAAGAACUGCAACAGAAGUUGAUGAGGACACACAUGAAGAAAAUUAUUCGAUCAAGAAGCACAACUUGAUAAAAUGUUGUCUUGGGAUAACCUGAUUUCUGAAUUAGUAGACUAUUAUGCACAUAUAUGUAGUUCAUUAUUAUAUUAUUUUAUGCCAAUUGCAGAGUAGUCUGGUUCUCAUAACAAAUUUAGUCUUGUUUCACUGUUUAUUAAAACUACAUGCCAUGUUUCUGUAGGAGUGAAUACAAUUAUGUUAACUUAAGCAUGACAGGCAGGAACCGAUCUGCAGAAAUGACGUUAAUUGAUACAAUUGGAACCUGCAAGUUAUAUGCAGAAAGCACGCGGUGCCUCCCAAAUUCCAGAGACCUACAACUUCACAUAAAUGUCGUUCACAGCACUUAAUGAUCACUUGUUUGUAGUAACUAACACGUCUUCCGUCUACAAUGUAAAUGAUAGUGGAAGGUACUGAUUUCCACUUUCUUAGCAACACACUAACAACAGUGACGGAUCUAGAACUUUGAAAUUUCAUUGUUUUUUUUGGUUGAACAAGUAACUUACUAGAAUUUAAUUUAAUCAUAGCUACCAUAUGAAAAUCAAUAAUAUUGUUGACUCCUCUGCUUAACUAUGACUCCUGUGCAUGCCAAUCUCCAAAUACACAAAAAUGUUAUUUACUAAGAGAAGUUUGUUGAUAGCUAAAGGAUAUAGUCUCCGGGAAAAAAAUCCACUGACCAACUUAAUACACAGCUCAGCAGUUUAUGAGCAAGGGUCUGAGUCUUGGCUACCUGGAAAUGAAUUGAAAAAAUAGAAGUUAAUGCAUAGUUUUCUUGAAGUGUGAAGACUUGUUUUGUGAGUUGGUCCUCCAUAUUAGAAAUUAAAGUUUUUUUCAACAAAAAUCCGGUGGAACAUAUCAUUUUCCACUAUACCUUUUAUUUUCAGUUUCUUGCCAUCGAAGAGCACUAAUUCCAUCGGCAGUGAUUUGGAAGAACAGGUCUCUUGCCACUCCAAUUCCUAAGAAAAUUUAGCACAUAAAUAGAAGUGUGCCUUGCACUAUGAGAUGUACAAUGUGACAGGAAACAUGUUGCACUUCCCAAAGCCUAAUUAUCACCUCAUUGUGCUUGUUUUCUUUCUACUAUUGCUUCCAUCUACCCUCACAACAGUAUCUACGACAAGAGAAGGAGAAGCUCUGUUAAAAUGGAAGAACAGUCUACCACCAUCCUCUUCCCUAAAUUCUUGGUCACCCGUCAAUCUCAAUAAUUUGUGUAACUGGACUGGCAUUAUCUGUAACUCUGCAGGUUCAGUCUCAGAAAUAAACCUUUCACUAAAACAACUUAGUGGAACGCUUGCCAAUUUCAGUUUCACUUCAUUUCCAAAUCUUAAUAGUCUUGACAUUAGUGGCAACAACUUCACAGGUCCAAUACUACCUGCCAUUGAAAAGUUCACGCAGCUUCAGCAUCUUGAUUUUAGCUUUAACAAGCUCAAUGGUAUCAUUCCAAACCAAAUUUGGCAUCUUCAGAGAUUGCGCACCUUAGACCUGUCAGUUAAUCACUUGGAAGCUUCAGACUGGUCUAGUUCUUUCUCCAUGCCUUUUCUGACCAACCUCGACCUUAGUUUCAAUAAACUUGGGGCAAAAUUCCCAGGCGUUACAUCCAAUUUUUGUAACCUAACAUAUCAAUUAUUUCCUGAGUCAUUAGUUAACAAUCUGCAUAAUCUGGAAGUCCUUUCUCUUCAUCACAAUUCUCUCGAUGGGCCAUUUCCACCAAGCAUAUUCAAGCUUUCCAAAUUAAGAUAUCUCUCCCUAUCAAGUAAUCAUUUUUCAGGUUCUAUUCCGGAUGAUAUAGGGAUGCUUGGUGAUCUUGAAUCCCUUUAUCUGGGUCACAAUUCUUUUGAGGGGCCCUUCCCACCAAUUUUUUUCAAAUUUUCCAAACUAAUAAAUCUGUCCUUAUCAGGGAAUAUUUUUUCAGGUUCUGUUCCAGGUGAUAUAAGGAUGCUUAGUGAUCUGGAAUACCUUGAUCUUAGUCGGAAUUUUUUUGAGGGGCCUUUUCCACCAAAUAUAUUCAAGCUUUCCAAAUUAAAAGUUCUUGACCUAUCAAGAAACAAUUUUUCAGGUUCUAUUUCAGAUGAUAUACGGAUGCUUCAUAGACUUGAGUUGCUCCAUCUCGAGUACAACUCUUUUCAGGGACCCUUUCCACCAAAUAUAUUGAAGCUUCCGAAUUUAAGAGUACUUGACCUAGCAGACAAUGACUUUUCAGGUUUUAUUCCCAGUGAUGUAAACAUGCUUCAUGAUCUGAAAAUACUUUCAUUGUUUUCUAAUUCAUUUGAAGGAAGUAUUCCUUCUUCUAUAAGUCUACUCAGGGAGCUACGAUACCUUCACCUCGGGUCUAAUUAUCUCAAUUCCACUAUUCCUUUUGAGCUGGGGCUCUUGACAAACCUUGACCGAUUAUAUCUUGAUUCCAAUAAUCUUACUGGCAAUAUCCCACCUGACAUAGGAAACUUGAAACUACUGAGAGUACCAAGUCUUGAUUCUAAUCAACUCACUGGACCGCUUCCAAAGACCAUUUCUAAUCUCACUAAACUAGGGUUUCUUAACCUGAAAGAUAAUAAGUUUUCCGGCAAUAUCCCAAGUGACUUCUGGAAAACUUCUACAUCCUUAUAUUCCAUUGAUUUUUCCGACAACAACUUGUCUGGAAACAUUCCCAAGGAAUUUGAUGUUCACCCAAUUUUGGAAUGCAUCAAUUUAAGUGGAAACCAUUUUACAGGUCUGUUCUUUUCCUUAUUUUUCCUUUUUGUCUACAACUAUGCAGGUAAUCAGAUUAGUGAAUAUUGACUGAAGCUCCUCUGUUUAUACCAGGUAUGAUUCCCACAACAAUUUGCAACGCCACAUCCCUUCGGGUUCUUGUUCUGUCAAAUAAUGGAUUAAGUGGCACACUUCCAAAUUGUUUGCGAAAUCUUGCUGAUAAACUGCUUUCUAUUGAUCUUGGUAAUAAUCAAUUUCAAGGAAGAAUGCCAACCUUCUCCGAGGGAUGUCAGCUGACAUAUCUGAACAUGUACAACAAUUACUUUGACGGAGUGUUGCCUCAAUCUUUUGCUAACUGCAAGCAGUUAAAAGUUCUUGAUAUAGAAAACAACAAAAUAAGUGGUACAUUUCCCUCAUGGCUAUUUACUCUUGCAGAGCUAGAACUCCUUGUCUUGCGGUCGAAUAGACUUUAUGGUACAGUAAGUUUAAGAAGCACAACAGAUCCCUUUCCCAAGUUGCGCAUCAUGGAUCUCUCAAACAAUGACUUCACAGGCUAUUUGCCAAUUCAAUAUUUCAAAAAUAUGAAGCCGGUUGAUAAGGGGUAUGAUUAUCAUAAUUUCACAGCACCAUUUUAUUACUACUAUCAAGCAUCUAUCUCGUUAACUGUGAAAGGGACUGAGUACCAAGUGAGCAAGAUUCUUCAUAUUUACACAGCCAUUGAUCUGUCAUGCAACAAAUUUCAAGGAGAAGUCCCAAAGGUUAUCGGAGAACUUAAAUGGCUUGCAUUGCUCAACUUAUCUCAUAAUAGUCUUACCGGACCUAUCCCAUCACAGCUCGGAAAUAUGAAAGCACUCCAAUCUCUGGAUUUGUCUUCAAAUCAAUUCACAGGGGCUAUCCCAUACCCGUUAAUUGGUUUGACAUUUCUAGAGGUCCUGAACCUCUCAUAUAACCAUCUCACCGGAGAAAUUCCCCAAAAAGGACAACUGAGCACGUUCACUAAUGAUUCUUACCUAGGUAAUCUUGCCUUGUGUGGAUCUCCUUUAACAGAGAAAUGUGCACACGAAGAGUCACCACCACAAGAAGUCGGAUAUGAUGAAGAUGGUGCAGAUAAUAAAUUCCAAUGGAAAGUAGUCCUAAUGGGAUAUGUUAUCGGAUUAGUAUGUGGAUUGUCUUCAGGUUACAUUUUUCUCACAACUGGAAAGCCUUGGUGGUUUUUGAGAUACAUCGAACAACUGCAGCAAAAGUUGAUCAGAAGAAUCACGUAGAGUACUGUUUGAUUAAGAUGAGCAACUUGAAAAGAAUGUUUACUAGACCAGUGGUAUGUCGGGAACAUUAAUGUGUGGUGUCAUAUAAUAUUUGAAAUGCUAAUGUCAGCACUAGUUCUAGUUCGGGCCUGAUACCAGGGGCGGAUCUAGGAAGAGGCACGCGGGGACACGUGUCCCCCCUAAAUUUUCUUUUUACAUUUUUUCACCAUUAUAAAGUUUACAAAAUUAUAAAAGUGCCCCCAAAGAAUUUAAAAAUAUAUAGGUAUUUUCCGAAAAUUUGCUUCGUGCCCCCUAACAUUUGUGGGCUAGAUCCGCCCCUGCCUGAUACUGAUUUACUCGUCUCAGAGCUACAUAUUUCGUUCAAUGUUAAUGCAAAAGGAAAAAAACAUACUACACACUAAAUCAACUUUGUAUCAAGUCGAGUUUUGGAGAUGCCAUUAUCAAAAGAAAAACACGGUGAAUGAUAUUUAUUAAGAACACGACUUGAACCAUAAGUGCAUGAAAAUCGUCUUUCAAAGUAUGGCAGGGGGGUGAAUCGUGCACACCAUGGAUAGUCACCUGAAAGCUAACCAUUCUGAGGUUCGUGGAAGCUGAUUUCAUACUCUUNCUGAAAGCUAACCAUUCUGAGGUUCGUGGAAGCUGAUUUCAUACUCUUGAAAGCUAUCUUUAGGAGGUCGAAACUUUAAUUUGUGUUACAUAACAUUUCAUUAUGCAAGACGGAUGGUUUCAGGGAAACUGUACUAGAGAGCAAGUACCAAAUAGUAAGGUAAACUUUCGAUGAUGAAAUUCCUCCCUGAUUUUUACAUCAUUCCAUGUUUUAGACUUGACAGAACAAUCGGGCGAAUGUUCUGGUCAAUUUUUUCAUGGUUGGGCCAAAAGAAUUAUAGUACAAAUGGGUGAGAAAGUGAGAAAGUUAAUUUUAGCGAUCGCUUUUCAUUAUUUAUAAUGACGAUCAAUUUUAUCUGAUUACUUUUAAUUUUAUCUUUUAUGCUUAUUUUUUUUUUUUUGUAUGGUCUACAUAAUCGUAGAUGAAUUGUAUCGAAAUACAAUAAACCGCAACCGAGAUUUCUUUCUUUCAAGAAAGUUUAUUAUCUAACCGAAAGCCAUGCAAUCAUAACUCCGGACGUUUAGACAAUAAAAUUUAAAUGAAUGAGAAAAGAAUACCCAUACAGCUCGCUUCCACAGUAUCCUGAGAAAAAACAAUCAAACAAAAUAUAAAUUAAUAUACAAGAAAAUCUAAUAAAAACAAAAACAAAAGAGUUUAUAUAUAAAAAAAAUAGAGAGGAAAUAUAUAUAUAUAUAUAUAUAGGGUCAAGUUCGAGAUAGAACCACAUUAUACUUAGAACUUAGACCCUAUAAAUUACCAUUAGAUAUAAAUAGGAUGUGUGGUUAAGAUUAUCAUUGGUAUUAAUCACAUGUUAUAUAUUUAGGUGACAUUUAUAUGUAUGCACAUUUAAUAAAUGAGAGUUAAUAACCAGAUUUAUUACUUUCCAUGAUUAAUACAAAUCUCAAUUAAAUUUUAUGUAUAUAAAUCAGUAUAACAAAAUUAAAUAUAUCAAAUAUUUUGUUUUCAUACAUAACAAAUUUGUGUGAUUUAAUUCUAUAUGUGUAAAUGUAUAACAAAUUUACGUGAUACUGUUGCAGCACUUGUACUAAUAUAAAAGAUGGUGUUAUAAUGCAAUAUUUUUCUAAAAAGAUGGAAAUACUGCUAUAGUACAUCAAAUAUCAUACUUAUAUUAUUUAAUAAUUAUACCGAUACUAUUGCAAUACAUAGUUUUUUUUAAAAAAAAAUAAAUAUAAAAGUACUGCUAUAGUACAUCAAAUACUAAUAUAAAAGAUGGUGUUAUAAUGCAAUAUUUUUCUAAAAAAUAGAAAAUACUGCUAUAGUAUGUCAAAUANNNNNNNNNNNNNNNNNNNNNNNNNNNNNNNNNNNNNNNNNNNNNNNNNNNNNNNNNNNNNNNNNNNNNNNNNNNNNNNNNNNNNNNNNNNNNNNNNNNNNNNNNNNNNNNNNNNNNNNNNNNNNNNNNNNNNNNNNNNNNNNNNNNNNNNNNNNNNNNNNNNNNNNNNNNNNNNNNNNNNNNNNNNNNNNACUAAAUAUUCAUAAAUAAUAUUUAUUCAAUCACAAUUUAAAACGUAACCAAUACAAUUAAAAUUAAUAAAGAUAAAUAAUGAACAGCCAAUAAGAGAGAUCCCGUAAUUAAAGUCAGUCCAAAUUAAAAUUCAAUUAUUGCCUAAAAAUCAAACAAUCAUGAUAAAUUAUGAAUUCAUAAAAUUUAAAAUUUAAACCUUAAGAAGAUAAAUAAAGACCAUCAUAAAUGUUAUUAAAUAUUCAUAAAGAAUAUUUAUCAAGAUAUAUUCCUUUCCAAAAUUAACCGAAAAAAUUGAAUACUUGCAUUUUAAAAAAUUUGCACAUAAAUAUACAAACAAAUAUAAUAUAUAAAAGCAACGCCAUAAUUCAAAAUAAAUUGAUAUCGAAACACUCAACAAUAUUACAUGCACCUAAAAACAUGUUAAAAAACUAAAAAGAUUAAUCUAGAAGAUCAAAUCACACACUUAACAAACACAUACAAUCAAGAAUACCUAUCGAAAAUCUAUAUCGAGAAUCUAUAACAGACCUAAUUUCAAAUCGAUAUUCCGGUCAACCAUCACAAAUCCGGCUAAGAUAAAACAUGUCAGAAAAAGGGGGAAAAAUGGAUACAUAACUCGACUUGAUCUACAAAACUAAUCAAACAAAAUUCUAAAACAGAUACGAAUCCAUGAUUUCAAUCAACUCAAAAUUCUAUACACCUUAAAAUUAGAAGAGGAAAAGCAUAAAAUGAUUUCUAUGAUAUAGAUAUGUUAUCGUAAUUCAUAAGUUAUACAAAACAUAAAGAACAAGCAAAGAACACAUAACAAGCAUUUAUUUUGGAUCAUAACAAUAUAAUCAAAAGAAGAUGAAAGAAGCGUACCUUUUCAAAGAGACGGAGAUAUUUUGAAAAACUAUAAAAUUGAGAGAAUAAACAUACCGAAUCCGAAAAUAAAAUCCAUAAAUUGUCACGAGCAAAAUCAUCUUUUGAUCCAUCAAAAUCUUUUAAAUAUUACAUCACCUUGUUUUCUUUGGUCGCUCGGUACCUUCUUUCUUAUCUUUUAUGCUUAUUAAAAACACAGAAGAUCGUGUAAACAAAAUUAAUACAAAACGUACUUAUUCAUAGAAUAUGAUUUACUUCACUUAACUGCGCUUAAUUAUUUGAAAGGAAAGAAUACAACACAAAAUUAAAUAUAUAAGAUCUGUUAAUUUUGGAAAUGAGAAUUUUUUUAACAUAAUCAUUGAUAACAUAUUUUUCCAACUUAUUUAUAUCUGCCAGAAUUAAAUAAAAUAUGCCUCAAUAGGUUAUCAUUCUUAAUGUGAAACUGCAAAAUUAUAUAUAUUUUCAUUUAUGCCAUAUUCUUAGACAAAAAUUAAAAACAAAAUAAUGAUCCUGAUCAGCUUUAAAGGGUGUAAAACAAGUGUAAAAUAAGUAAAGUAAUUUAACUUUCACUUAUAUUAUUAAGACAAAAGUAAGCGGAAAUAAACAUAAUUUCAAUAGAUUUAACUUACUCUCCAGAAUCGAUAAGUUUGGAACACGUUGAUUGAGCACAAGACGAAGGCCACACAUGCGCAUCGUCUGAUGCAGCUAUGGUGCCUUUACAGUUGCUCAUACAUAUAGUGAAACAAUAAGGAUCAACUCCUCCAUUGUGCGUACACAUUUUCUAUCCUUAUUUUCAUACAAUAAGGAUAGAGUCUUUGCAAUCUCGUCAUGACCAGCUAUACAUCCGAUCAUGAUAAACUCUAGCAGGAUCAUCCAAGUAAUAAUUUUCAUAAUGAUAUUAAUUAUCAUUGUGAAUAGUUGCAUUGAGUUAUGUAUGUGUGUGUAUAUAUAUGCAAUGGAUUUUGUGGUUGAGAAUAUCUAUUAGAUUUUGUAUAUCCAUAACAAUUAUUAAAAUUUGAACAAUAAUAUCCAUUAUUGGUUGUGGUUGACUAUUGUAGUAGUCCAAGAAGUCUAUGCAAGUGAAAUCUAUAUUAUAUUUAAAAAGAUUAUACAUGAAAUACAAAAGGUUUUUUUAGGACUGCUGUUAAAAAUUGUUAUGUUGUACGAAAAAAUGCUGAUAAAAAAAGUGUUAUACGAAAAUUUAAAUGCUGAUAAAAAAAAUGUUGUAGAAAUCAGACAUGACAGCUUCCCACAAAAGCUGAAAAAACAAUUUUCCGUAAUAAUAUGGGAGGAGAAAAACUGUUUAUAGAUUUAUAGAACAAUUUUUCACAUAUUUUUUGAUAAAAAGCUGUUGUUGUCUUCAAGCUGAGUAAUGCCAAACAGUUCCGAAAUCAUUUUGCAGGUAGUUAAUCUCACUUCCAUAUAAUAUACUCCUAUAUAUUACCGAAAAAACAUGAAAUGAUGCAAAUCUCAUACUAUUGACAACAGGUAAACUCCUUGCAAUACUUUGAGCUGCAAAAUCCAUCAAAUUUGUUGAUAUAUCAAUGUAACUGUUUGACAGAGUACUUCCAAGCUAAGUAUCAAAAAUCACUACCUUACGAAAUAUAUCUCACCCUACCUUCUCUGCUUAACUGUUUCGAGUACUUUUACCAAGCAUAUUUUCCAUUAAGGUGAAAGGCACAGAAUAAUUAAGGAUCACCUAUCCCAUCAGUGCCGGGGAAUAUGGAACCAUCUUAUCAGUUAACUAGUUUAACAUUUCUCGCGGUCUUGAACCUCUCAGAAAACCAUCUUAUACUCAUGUGCGGACUUCCUUUGACGAAGAAAUGGUGAUGCUGAUGCUAAUGAUAAUGAACUCAACUGGGGAGUGAUCCUUAUGGGAUACGGAUGUGGAUUGAUAUGCGGAUUUUCUUUGGGGUUUAUAUUUUGUGGUUUGUGAGAUACAUUGAAGUACUGCAGCUGGAGUUGAUCAUUAUAAAGAACAUAGGCAAGUUAAUCGCUUAUUGAAAUUAGUAAUUGUCAAAAGUAAAAUGUUGAAAUUACUUUUUCCGAAUGAAAUCAUCGGCAAAAAGUCUCUGUCGAAUUUGAUCUGCCAAAAUUAUGUUUAAUAUCUACGGCCAAGAUUAUCUGUCGAAAAUAUUUCCCGACAAUUUUAAAAGACAAAUUUGUCGCGUCUCAGUUGUGAGCAGGAAUAGAUAUUUUCGACAGAAUUCCACUGAAAUUAGCUAAUUUCAACAUAAAUUUUCUAUCGAAAUUACUCGGGUUUUUUGUAGCGUAUCUGAUAGCCUUUGGGGACUGGGGUAUAUUGUUUUCACAAAGCCCUGGUGAUUUGUGAGAUGCAUCGAAGGACCGCAACUGAAGUCGAUAAGAACAUGCAGAAAGAAAACUGAUCCAUCUUGAUAAACUUGAAAAAUGUUGUCAUAUGGUGAUAUAUACUCCCUGGCCCCAGUCUCUUGGAAAGAACUUAGUUGAUUUUUUUUUUUCAGUAUCCAUCCCUAAUAGUUGCAGCAAAUUAAAAAAUAUAGUUAUAUCUUUUUAGCAAUGGUGCAAUUUGGAAAGCUUUCUCAUCAUCUUCUUCUUUUCUUUAUCUCAUUACUCUCAUUUAAUUCCACUGUCCUGCAACAAUUCGCCAAGGAGAAGCUCUAGUUGAAUGGAAGAACAGCCUAUCCCUGAAUUCGUUUCUUGGUUCUUGGUCACUAAUUAAUCUCACUUAUCUUUGUAAUUAAGUGGACUGGCAUUGUAUGCAACUCUCUGCAGGUUCAGUCAGUCAGAUUAAUCUUCAAGAACUCACAGGAACACUUGCUAACCUCGGUUUCUUUUCGUUUUCAAAUCUCACCAAUAUCAACAUUACACAUAACAACUUCACUGGUCCAAUACCACCCGAGAUUGGAAAUUUACGACGGAACAAUGUGUCAUAAGUUUCAGUUUUCCUCCAAAACUUACGACGGAUGUUCAUACAUAACUUCUGUCGCAAGUUCAACUUUUUUCAAAAGGAAAACCAGGACCCACAACAGACAUGCGAUAGAAACUUCCGUCGUAAGGUAGUUAACAUACGACGGACCGAGCAUCGUAAGAUAAAAUUUAUCCAGACAAGGAUCUGGGCCCCACAACAUACUUGCGACGGAAAGUUCCGUCGUAAAUUCUGUAACUUACGACGGUUUUAAUACUUACGACGCAUGUUUGGAAUUGUGAUGUAUUUUGCAACUUUCGACUUGACAAAAAAUGACGGAAAAAGUCCGUCGUAAAGUAAGAACUACUUCCAUCGUAAAAACCCAGUUUUGUUGUAGUGUCUGCAGGUUCAGUCAGUCAGAUUAAUCUUCAAGAACUCACAGGAACACUGGCUAACCUCGGUUUCUUUUCGUUUUUCUAAUCUCACCAAUCUCAACAUUACACAUAACAACUUCACUGGUCCAAUACCACCCGAGAUUGGAAAUUUAACAGACGUUCAGUACCUCGACUUUAGCUAUAAUAAUCUCAAUGGUAAUGGUACCCUUUCAUACCAGGUUAGCCACCUUCAGAGGUUGGUCGUCUUACGGCUGUCAUUUAAUCACCGAAAGCUCCGAGUUUGUCCAAUUUUUCCCCCAUACCUAAACUGGUUGGUCUCGGUCUUAGUGGUAAUAAGCUGGCGUCAAAUUUUCCAGAAUUCAUAUCUAAUUGCUAUAACAUAAUUAAUCUUGAUCUUUUAUUUAACGUGUUAACUGGCCUGGUGAUCCAAUGCCUGAAUCAGCAGAUGACAAUUUACGUAAUCUUGAAGAACUGUAUCUUGGUGCCAAUUCUUUCGAGGGGCCAUUUCCAACGAAUAUAUUCAAGCUUUCCAAAUUAAGGGUUCUUGACCUAUCUAUGAAUAAUUUUUCAGGUUCAAUUCCUGAUGGUAUAGGGAUGCUUCCUGAUCUUUGAAUAAUUCGUUUAUAUAAUUCAUUUGAAGGAAUUAUUCCUUCUUCAAUUAGUCUACUUAAGGAUCUUCAACACCUAGACUUCAGUGACAACCUUCUAGUUUCAAGUAUAAUGUCUUACGGGUCCAAUUUAACCGAUCAUUAUAGGCAACCCCAUUAGAGAUGCUCUUAAUAACAUUUUAACUAGAGAAUAUCUUACUUUCAGUUGCAUUUGUAUUAAAUCUGAUUUAGAUGAAGAGAAACAGAAUACAUAUGAUCCUGAGACAACAUUUUGUCAAUGUUUUCGUCUUGAUUAAACAGUCUUCUUCAUGCGUGUCCUUGUCAACUUCAGUUGCGGUAAUUCAAUGUAUCUCACGAACCACCUUGGCUUUCCCAUUUUGAAAACAAGUAUCCUGAAGAUAAUCCGCAUAUCAAUCCACAUCCGUAGCUCAGUUGAUUUAUUAAUUUAUUCAUGAAGUGGCGAACGACAUUCCUGCAAAAGUAAAAGUCAGUGGAAUUUGUAUGAUAGCAUGAUCCAUGAUGAAUAUUUAAAGUUUCAGCUAGAAUUUCACCAAGUAAUUUAUUUCUUGCUUAAGUCCCGGAUUGACGAAUUUUGCUGAUCACAUUUCUAAUCGACCAAUUCUGGUCGAAUAAAUUAAAUGGCACACUUCCUGAGUUGGUGGUGGGGGCGUUCUUCUUGUGUUUCUUUCUUUUCAUUAUUGACAUUGUUAUCCAGGUCCUUGCUUCUGGGCUUUUGUAAAGCACCCAUUUACUCCAUUGUCAUGAUCAUAGCUAGUCUUCCAUAUCCAAGAUACGCGCAUUAUAGUGGAUUUAUCUUUAUUAGUGAUUUCUGUGGAAAUGCAUAAUCUUUAUAAGCUCCAAUAUUAUAAAAUAAACCUAACUUAUUAGAGUUAACAGGGCAUUUGUGUUGAUAAUUUGCGCAAUGUUAUGGGGAUCGCUCCCAAGUCUUGGACGGACUCUUUCCAAGUCUUCUGAGGACCCAUCUGCACACUAAUUUGUCCGCCAACUAAAAAUUUAUAUAUAUUUUUCCAUAGAAUAUAAAUAGUUGGGGGUACUAACAGAACCUCUAGUAAAAUUAAUUAAUACCGUUAUGAUUUCGCAAACACAGCAGACAGCAGGCAUAAGGCUUAUAAAUAGAAGUGUCGUAUUUGGUUGAUGGUCAAGUUGAGUGGAAAUAUGGCACACUUUGUAAUGCCUUGUUAUCCUCUUCUCUUUGUUUUCUUUCUCUCAUUACUUCAAUCCAUUCUAACAACACAAGAGGGAGAAGCUCUUGUGAAAUGGAAGAAUAGCCUAGCCCCUUCUUCUUUUCUCGACUCUUGGUCACUCACCAAUCUCGAUAAUCUUUGCAACUGGACUGGCAUUACUUGUAACUCUGCAGGUUCAGUCUCUCUGAUUAACCUCUGUGAGAAACAACUUGAUGGAAUGCUGUCUGAGUUUGGUUUCACUUCAUUUCCAAAUCUCAACAAUCUCACCCUCGCAGUUAACAACUUCUCCGGUCCAAUACCAGCAGCCAUUGAGAAUUUAACAGAGCUUCGGUAUCUUGAUUUGAGCAAUAAUUAUCUAGAUGGUCCCAUUCCUUUCCAGGUUAGCCAUCUUCAGAGGUUGCUCAUCUUAAAUCUGUCACGGAAUGCAUUGCAAGCUCUAAAUUGGUCCAAUUUCUCUCCCAUGCCUUUUUUGCGCAUCCUCAAGCUCAGUAGAAAUCAUCUUGCGUCGAAAUUCCCAAAUUUUAUAUCCAAUUCUCAUAGCCUGACUCACCUUGACCUUUCAUAUAACAUGUUUACCGGUGAUCUAGCAUGUGAACCAAUAUUUGCCAACCUGCAUAAGCUUGAAGUGCUUAGUCUCGUUGACAAUUCUUUUGAGGGGCCAUUUCCGCCAAAUAUAUUCAAGCUUUCCAAAUUAAAACGUCUUGCCCUGUCAGGUAACAAAUUUUCAGGUCCAAUUCCCAAUGACAUAAGGUUGCUUUGUGAUCUUGAAUCCCUAUAUUUAGGUAACAAUUCCUUUGAAGGACCGCUUCCACCAAAUAUAUUCAAGCUUUCAAAAUUAAAAGAUCUUGUUCUUUGGCGUAAUAAGUUUUCAGGUUAUAUUCCCAAUAGUAUAAAUUUGCUUUCGGCGCUUGAAGCCCUCGAUCUUUAUUCUAAUUUUUUUGAGGGGCCGCUUCCACCAAAUAUAUUCAAGCUCUCAAAACUAAGGAUUCUUUCCCUUGGGAACAAUAACUUUUCAGGUUCUGUCUCUAAUAAUAUAGGUUUGCUUCCUGAGCUUGAAACCCUAUAUCUUGACUCUAAUUUGUUUGAGGGGCCGCUUCCCCCACAUAUAUUCAAGCUCUCUAAAUUAAGAUAUCUAGACCUCUCAAACAAUAGAAAUUUAUUUGAAAUUAGAAGUAUUCCUAUUGGAUUGGGACUCUUGACUAACCUCAACUAUUUAGAUCUACAUUGCAGUAAUCUCAGUGGCGAUAUUUCAUCUGCCAUUGGAAACCUGAAGCUACUAGUAUUUCUUGAUCUCAGUUUUAAUCAAUUGACCGGACCGCUUUCAAAGAUCGUUUCUAAUCUCACAAAUCUUAUAUAUCUUGAUGUAAGUCAUAAUAGUCUUAGUGGAAAUAUUAGUGACUUGUGGAAAUAUUAUCUGUCUGGGAACAUUCCUAAGGAAUAUAACGAUCAUCCAACUUUGGAAUACAUCAAUUUAAGUGGGAACCAUUUUACAGGUAUGUUUUCUCUAUAUAUCUUUUCCUUUUGUCAUAUUAACUAAGCUUGUAAUCUUUUUGUAGUUAUACCAAAGUUUUAACAAUCUUGACAGGUGAGCUUCCAACAACAAUUUGCAAUGUCACUUCCCUUUCAGUUCUUGAUUUGUCAAAUAAUGGAUUAAGUGGUGCACUUCCAAACUGUUUCGCGAAUCUUGCUGAUAGAUUGCUUUACAUGAAUCUUGCUAAUAAUCUGUUUCGCGGAACAAUACUAAUUACUUUAUCCAAAAGUUGUCAGCUGACAUAUCUAAACAUGGAUAAUAAUGAGUUUGAAGGAUUGGUGCCCCCAUCUUUGGCGAACUGUAAGCACUUGAAAAUUCUUGAUAUUGGCAAUAAUAAAAUAGGUGGUUCAUUCCCGUCAUGGCUUUAUGUACUUGGAGAGCUAGAAGUCCUUGUCUUGCGAUCAAAUAAACUCUAUGGUACAAUAACUGGAAGGAGCAUAGAAGAUCCCUUCCCCAAGUUGCGGAUUGUGGAUCUGUCCGAUAAUCAAUUCACAGGCCAUUUGCCAAUUCAAUACUUUAAGAAUAUGAAAUCAACUGAUAAUAUGUAUAAUUAUCUGAAUUCCACAGGAGGAAUAUAUUUCACUUAUGAAGCAGCAGUCUCACUAACUGUGAAGGGAACAGAGUAUGAAGUAGCAAAUAACCUUCAUAUUUACACAGCUAUUGAUCUGUCGUGCAACAAAUUUCAGGGUGAAAUUCCAAAAGUUAUUGGAGAGCUUAGAUGGCUUGCAUUGCUCAAUUUAUCGCAUAAUAGUCUGACAGGACAUAUCCCAUCAUUGCUGAGAAAUAUGAAAGAACUCCAAUAUUUAGAUCUGUCCUCAAAUCAACUGACAGGGGCUAUUCCACCUCAGUUAACUGCAUUGACAUUUCUAGAGGUCUUGAACCUCUCAGGAAACCAUCUUAGUGGAGGGAUUCCUCAGAAAGGACAGUUCAGCACAUUCAACAAUGAUUCUUAUCUAGGAAACUCCGCUUUAUGUGGAUCACCUUUGACGAAGAAAUGUGCAAACACAGCAUCACCUCCAAAAGAAGUCGGAAAUGGUGAUGAAGAAGAUGGUGGUGAUGAAUUGACAUGGGAAGCAAUCGUGAUGGGAUAUGGAUGUGGACUGAUAUGUGGCAUCAUCGGCAUACAUUGUUCUCAAACUAGGAAAGCCGUGGUGGUUUGUGAGAUGUAUCGAAGUACUGCAACUGAAGUUGAUGAAAAGAUAUGCAUGAAGAAUGGUACUCUGGUCGAUCAACACGAACUUGAAAGUUGUUGUCCUUGUGGACUAGCUGCCUAAGUAUUUGGUAUUAUGUAAUAAUCCGUUUGGUCGGGACUCAUAAUCAUGCAUUUUUCUUGCUUCAGGAGUAUUAAUAUAUAUUAACCUUGCUAUCUAAAAGAAUAAAAUUGCAAAUUAACCUUCUCAGAGAAAUCUUGCUGAUAAAAUGCAUUGCAUUGAUCUCGCUAAUAAUCAGUUCCGAGGACCAAUACCAACAACCUUCUCAGACAGUUGCCAGUUAAGAUAUCUAAACAUGUAUGACAAUCACUUAAAAGGACUAUUGCCCCGAUCUCUGUCAAACUGUAAGCACUUGAAAAUUCUUGACAUCGGGAACAACAAAAUGGGCGGUACAUUUCCUUCAUGGCUAUUUACUCUCGGAGAGCUGGAAGUCCUAGUCUUGCGAUCAAAUAGACUUUACGGUCCAGUAAGUGGAAGGAGCACAUCACAUCCAUUCCCCAAGUUGCGGAUUUUAGAUCUCUCCAACAACCAAUUCGCGGGCCAUUUUCCAAUUCAAUACAUUAAGAAUAUGAAACCAACUGCUGACAACGGGUAUAGUUAUCAAAAUAGAUCACAAGGACUAAUUAAUUACAUCUAUGAAGCAUCUAUCUCCUUAAAUGUGAAAGGAACAGAGUAUGAAGUGAAAAACAUUCUUCAUAUCUACACAACCAUUGAUCUGUCGUGCAACAAAUUUCAAGGAGAAGUUCCAAAGGUUACUGGAGAGCUUAAAUGGCUUGCAUUGCUCAAUCUAUCUCAUAAUAGUCCUACCGGACAUAUGUUCUGCAUUAUUAUUAUGCUUUCAUCAAUAUUUUUAAACACUUCUCAAUAUGUAUUUUCAAAGAAUUCUCAAGCACUUGAACAUUUGGACCGGUUCUUUCGAAGCCAAGAUGCCCAGGUUAUCAUGGCCAUGCACAAAAAUGCCCAAAAAUAAAUAAAUUAAGAGAGAUUGCUCAGGGUCUCCCCAAGCCUUCCAGGACACAUUCCAAGUCUUCGGAGGACCACUGCCUCGCCCUUUCAAAGAUGUGAUAGUAGCUCGAGAGUGAUAUAAAUUAUUUUCCCGACACUAAAAUAAAUAGGGUUUUGUUCCAGGACAAUCGAUUGUCAUGGAGGUCUUCCAUCAUAUCCGCAGAUAGGAACUUUCCCUAUCCGCGGAAAAUUAUAGCGGAUACUUAAAAAAAUGAAGUUUAAUCUGGACCCUUGAAAUAGAGAUCCGACGGCCAUGAAAGUGUGUGUUAACUUACUUGGCACUAAGAUUGAUAAAGACAGUAUAAUAAUUUAAUUGAUGAAAAGUCAAAGUUUUCUAAUAAAUCCAUAAAGAAUAUGAUAAUCAAAAUAACGAAAAUUAUAAUUGAAAAAUCAAAAUCAUUAGUCAUGUAUUAGAAUAGUGUUCACACACUUAUAUAUCAAAAUUUGUGGUCCCAAAAACUAUAGCACAAUAUCCUAAAUACACCACAUUAAAUACUAGUUCAAAAAUAUUCAAUAAAUAAUUGAUUUCAUUCAUAAUUUUGUUAUUUUAAAAACGAAUAAUUUGGUUGAUGUUGACCUAUAUUUUAAUAUAUAAUUAUAUUAUUUUUGUCUUAUUUUAUUUAACUAGAAACAAUAUUUUUAUAAUAUUUAUUACAUUAAUUAUAUUAAUAGAUAUAAUUUUAUUAAAAAAAUUGAAUAAAAUUAAGAGGAAAACUCUAUGCCACUCCAAGUCUACAAGACUCAUUUCAAGUCCACCGAGGACCACUACCUCAACCAUUGAGAGAUGUGAAAGUAGCUUGAGAGUGAUAUAAAUUAUUUUCCUGACAAUAAAAUUUAAUAUCUAAUAUAAAUUAAUUAAAUUAGUUAAUAAUAAAUCAAAAUUAAUCAUAAAUUAUGAUUAUAAUUAAAUUAUAUAAAUCAACUCCAAAUGAUACAAAUAACACUAAACCUUGGUUACUUUGUUGGUAAAUAAAUAUAAUAUAAUAAUCAAAUUGAUGAGAAAUCAAAAUCAUCUAAUAAAUUCACAAAAAAUAUAUGAUCAUUAGUAUAUUAUAUUAGUAUCCACACACUUAUAUUUCAAAAUCUAUCCUCCAAACUUAUCAUCUCUGUAAACUAGCCACAUAAAAUAAAAAAUUUCCACACUAAAUAACAAAAUAUCUUUAUCAAAUUAUUAUUUAUGAAUUAAAUAUUCAAGUUAUAAUUCCAGCAUGCAGCGUAUAAAUAGAAGUGUGCAGUAUGAUAUCAGAUUCAUAACCCAGUUGAGGAGAAACAUGGCACACUCUGUAAAGCCUUCUCACCUUCUUCUCUUUGUUUUCUUUCUCUCAUCACUUGAAUCCAUUCUUGCAACAACACGAGAAGGAGAAGCUCUUGUGAAGUGGAAGAAUAGCCUAGCCCCUUCUUCUUUUCUCGAUUCUUGGUCCCUCACCAAUCUCGAAAAUCUUUGUAACUGGACUGGCAUUACUUGUAACUCUGCAGGUUCAGUCUCUGAGAUUAACCUCUGUGAGAAACAACUUGAUGGAAUGAUGUCCGAGUUUGGUUUCACUUCAUUUCCAUAUCUCAACAAUCUCACCCUCGCAUACAACUUCUUCUCAGGUCCAAUACCAUCAGCCAUUGAGAAUUUAACACAGCUUCAAUUUCUUGAUUUGAGCAAUAAUAAUCUCGAUGGUCCCAUUCCGUUGCAGGUUAGCCAUCUUCAGAGGUUGCUCGUCGUAAACCUGUCACAGAAUGCAUUGCAAGCUUCAAAUUGGUCCAAUUUCUCUCCCAUGCCUUUUUUGCGCAUUCUCAACCUCAGUAGCAAUCAUCUUGUAUCGAAAUUCCCAGAAUUUAUAUCCAAUUCUCAUAGCUUGGCUAUCCUUGACCUUGGAUAUAACAACUUUACAGGUGAUCUUGUGCGUGAAUUUACCAAUCUACAAAAUCUUGAAACCCUCUACCUUGAUGAUAAUUCUUUUGAGGGGCCAUUUCCGCCAGAUAUAGUCCAGCUUUCCAAAUUAAAAGAUCUCACCCUGUCGACUAACAAAUUUUCAGGUUCAAUUCCCGAUGACAUAAGGUUGCUUUGUGAUCUUGAAUUCCUAUAUUUAGGCAACAAUUCUUUUGAAGGACCCCUUCCACCAAAUAUAUUCAAACUUUCAAAAUUAAAACAUCUUGUUCUUUGGAGUAAUAACUUUUCAGGUUCUGUUUCCAAUGAUAUAGGUUUGCUUUCUGAGCUUGAAAUUCUCAAUCUUCAUUCUAAUUUUUUUGAGGGGCCACUUCCGCCAAAUGUAUUCAAGCUCUCCAAACUAAAGUUACUUUCCCUUCACGAUAAUAACUUUUCAGGUUUUGUUUCCAAUGAUAUAGGUUUCCUUUCUGAGCUUGAACACCUACAUCUUGGCCAUAAUUUUUUUGAGGGGCCACUUCCGUCAAAUAUAUUCAAGCUCUCCAAAUUAAGAUAUCUAGGCCUAUCAAACAAUAGAAAUUUAUUUGAAGGAAGUAUUCCUAUUGGACUGGGACUCUUGACUAACCUCAGGUUCUUAGAUCUAUAUUCCAAUAAUCUCGGUGGCUAUAUUCCAUCUGACAUUGGAAACCUGAAGCUACUAGUUAAUCUUGAUCUCAGUUCUAAUCAAUUGACUGGACCGCUUCCGAAGAUCGUUUCUAAUCUCACAAAUCUUAUAUCUCUUGAUGUAAGUGAUAAUAGUCUUAUAGGAAAUAUUCAGAGUGACUUGUGGAAAUAUAACGAUCAUCGAAAUUUGGAAAACAUCAAUUUAAGUGGGAACCAUUUUACAGGUAUAUCUUUUCCUUUAGUCAUAUGUAACUAAGCUAGUAAUCUGAUUAUUGCAGUUUUACCAAAGUUUCAAAAAUCUUGACAGGUGAGCUUCCAACAACCAUUUGCAAUGCCACUUCCCUUUCGGUUCUUGAUUUGUCAAAUAAUGGAUUAAGUGGUGCACUUCCAAACUGUUUCGGGAAUCUUGCUGAUGGAUUGCAUUACAUUAAUCUUGCUAAUAAUCAGUUUCGAGGAAAAAUACCAACUACUUUCUCCAGGAGUUGUCAGCUGACAUAUCUAAACAUGGAUAAUAAUGAGUUUGAAGGAUUGUUGCCCCCAUCUUUGGCGAACUGUGAGCACUUGAAAAUUCUUGAUAUUGGCAAUAAUAAAAUAGGUGGUACAUUUCCGUCAUGGCUUUAUGCACUUGGAGAGCUAGAAGUCCUUGUCUUGCAAUCAAAUAAACUCUAUGGUACAAUAAGUGGAAGAAGCAUAAAAGAUCCCUUCCCCAAGUUGCGGAUUAUGGAUCUGUCCAACAAUCAAUUCACAGGCCAUUUGCCAAUUCAAUACUUUAAGAAUAUGAAAUCAACUGAUAAUUUGUAUAGUUAUCAGUAUUCCUCGGUAGUAUUAUACUUCUCUUAUGAAGCAGCAGUCUCAUUAACUGUGAAGGGAACAGAGUAUGAAGUAAGAAAUAAUCUUCAUAUUUACACAGCCAUUGAUCUGUCCUGCAACAAAUUUCAGGGAGAAAUUCCAAAGGUUACUGGAGAGCUUAUAUGGCUUGCAUUGCUCAACUUAUCUCAUAAUAGUCUAACAGGACAUAUCCCAUCAUUGCUGAGAAAUAUGAAAGAACUCCAAUCUUUAGAUUUGUCUUCAAAUCAACUGACAGGGGCUAUUCCACCUCAGCUAACUGCAUUGACAUUUCUAGAGGUCUUGAACCUCUCGAAAAACCAUCUUAGUGGAGAGAUUCCUCAGAAAGGACAGUUCAGCACAUUCAACAAUGAUUCUUAUCUAGGAAACUCCGCGUUAUGUGGAUCACCUUUGACGAAGAAAUGUGUAAACACCGGAUCACCUCCACAGGAAGUCGGAAAUGCUGAUGAAGAUGAUGCGGGUGAUAAAUUGAUAUGGGAAGCAAUCGUGAUGGGAUAUGGAUGUGGACUGAUAUGUGGAUGGUCAUCUGCGUACAUUGUUCUCAACCUAGGAAAGCCUUGGUGGUUUGUGAGAUAUAUCGAAGUACUGCAACUGAAGUUGAUGAAAAGAUAUGCAUGAAGAAUGGUACUGGUCGAUCAAGACGAACUUGAAAGUUGUUGUCCUGGUAGACAUUUCUGAACCAGUAGUGUACUAGCUACAUAAGUAUUUGGUAUUAUGUAAUAAUCUGUUUGGUCGGGACUCAUAAUGAUUUCUCUUGCUUCAGGGGUAUUAAUAUUAACCUUGCUAUCUUCAUCUGUGUUGAUGCAAAUGAAAAAGAAUGGAAAAACAAAAAAAUUGCAUCAAACCUGUUGUACCAAGAUCCAUUAAUCUGCUUUCAUCUCUUACGCAACAAUUUAACAGCACUUUCACACUGUUUGAAAGAUUAUCAUAAAUUCGAGUUUUCCUCGGCAGCACCAAAUCCAAAUAUACAAUCCGUCAAUCCCACACAUUCCAGUCUCAGCUUCAGCUCCCAGGCUAGCAUUAAUAACAGUUGGGGAUUUGAGUGAACGUGCCUUGGUCCUGCCUUCAAAUGUGUAACAUUAACAGUUGGAUAUGUCGACAAAAAAAUUGUUCCUCACACAGCGGAAUAAAUCCGACAGUUCUUUUCAUCCAGCAAUUUAAAGCUUAACAGACAGUCAUUAUUUCAGCAAUAUGUCUAGCAAAUAUGUAGGGCACUUGACACCAUACUUCCAACACAAGUAGUAAAAGGAGAGACCAUUGUUUCGAAUGCUCGGAAAUUUGAACUGGGUUUUUUCAGCGUGCCCCUGACUUUUGUACACAAACAGCUGAAGAAAAGCAGAAGUCGGAUUCUGGAAAAAAGAAGCACUUAUCUAUGCUAAUAUAUUAAAAAUGUCAUCUGUGUUUCUUAUGUUUGUGCAACAACCUGACAGAAAGGGAUGUAGGUGAAACCAGGGGCGUAAAAUGAAUCGGGACUAAAAUCUACUAAAAUGAUAAUUAUGUACUAUAUUUGGUCUGUUUUAAUAUACAUGUAAAAGGGGACGAAGUAGUUGGUUAUAGUUGCGAAUCCUAUAAAUGAAUGCGCGAUCAGGAUGUGUCACUAAGCACCUCCAACGCCGGGUAAGGGUGAGUAGUCUACUUCUGCUUCCUCUGUUUUUUGUAUUUGACGUUUUAAAUUUUGGCACACAAUUUUAAGUGUUUUGACCGUAUAGUUGAAAAUAUUAAUUUUAAUUUUUUUUUGAAUAAAAAUAUAUAAUCAAAAUUUUAAUUUAGAAAAAAGAUCAAUCAAAAAUAAUAUUUUUUACUAUUCGAUCAACCCACUUAACAAUAACAAUUAAAAGACUUUAGUGACGUUAUCUGACCAAGGGUCAUGGAAACUUCGACAUCGGAAUCUUGCGAGGCUACUAUUCUAAAGCACGCAUAAUCAUUGUAUCCAUUUUCCUCUAACACUGACAAAAAAUCUAUUUGAACAAAUGAAAUACAAACAACUCAGUGGAAUGCUAACUGAGUAAAGUUUCACUUCAUUUCCAAAUCUCAACAAUUUCACCAUCAAAUAUAAUGACUUCUGCUGUCCAAUACCACCAGCCUUUGAGAAUUUGGCACAGCUUCAAUUCCAUACCAGGUUAGUCAUCUUUGGAAAUUACACGUCUUAGACCUGUCAAACAUAAAUUUCAAUCUCCAAACUGGUCCGAUUUAUCUUCCAUGCUCUUUGUUGAGAACCGGUCCAUCUAAAACCUUAAGAUGUCAGAGGAAACUCAAAAUGGAUCUUCUACUAUAUUUUAACAUUUCUGAGUACAUUCAAUUAUAAGGUCACUUGUGCAUCGCUGUUCACACACUUAGACCCUGUUUGUGUGGGCUUUAAGUCCGGGCUCAAGCUAUUUCGACUUCAUCACUUCCAAGGACUUAUACCAACAACCUUCUCAAAGAGUUGCCAGUUAAGAUAUCUAAACAAGUGUGACAAUCAGUUAGAAGGACUAUUGCCCCGAUCUUUGUCAAACUGUAAGCACUUAAAAAUUCUUGACAUCGGGAACAAUAAAAUGGGCGGUACAUUCCCUUCAUGGCUAUUUAAUCUCGGAGAGCUAGAAGUCCAAGUCUUGCGAUCAAAUAGACUGUACGGUCCUGUAAGUGGAAGGAGCACAUCACAUCCAUUCCCCAAGUUGCGGAUUCUAGAUCUCUCCAACAAACAAUUCACGGGCUAUUUGCCAAUUCUAAACUUUAAGAAUAUGAAACCAGCUGCUGAUGAUAACGCGUAUAGUUAUAAAAAUAAGUCACAAGGACUAAUUAAUUACAUCUAUGAAGCAUCUAUCUCCUUAAAUGUGAAAGGAACAGAGUAUGAAGUGAAGAACAUUCUUCAUAUUUACACAGCCAUUGAUCUAUCGUGCAACAAAUUUCACGGAGAAGUUCCAAAGAGAGCUUAAAUGGCUUGCAUUGCUCAAUCUAUCUCAUAAUAGUCUUGCCGGACAUAUGUUCUGAAUUAUUAUUAUGCUUUCAUCAAUAUUUUCAAACAUUUCUCAAUAUGUAUUUUCAAAGAAUUCUCAAGCCCUGGAACAUUUGGACCGGUUCUUUCGAAGCUAAGAUGCCCAGGUUAUCAUGGCCAUGCACAAAAAUGAAUAAAUUAUUCCAAGUCUUCCAUGACUCAUUCCAAGUCUUCGGAGGAGACCCUGAGCACAAAGAUGCUCAGGGUCUCCCCAAGCCUUCCAGGACUCAUUCCAAGUCUUCGGAGCACGGCCUCGCCUCGCUCUUUCAAAGAUGUGAUAGUAGCUCGAGAGUGAUAUAAAUUAUUUUCCCGACACUAAAAAUAAAUAAUCAGAUCAAAUUAAUCAAUAAUAAAUUAAAGAUGAAAUCCAAAUUAAUCUUAAAUUUUGAUAAUAUAUAAAAAUUAUAAUUAUAAAUUAUAUACCAAAUCAGAAUUGAAUUAAUUCCUUGGCACUAAAAUUGAUAAAGAAAGUAUAAUAAUUUAAAUUUAAUUGAUGAAAAGUCAAAGUCUUCUAAUAAAUCCAUCGAAGAGCACUAAUUCCAUCUGCAGUGAUUUGGAAGAACAGGUCUCUUGCCACUCCAAUUCCUAAGAAAAUUUAGCCCAUAAAUAGAAGUGUGCCUUGCGCUAUGAGAUGUACAAUGUGACAGGAAACAUGUUGCACUUCCCAAAGCCUAAUUAUCACCUCAUUGUGCUAGUUUUCUUUCUCAUAUUGCUUUCAUCUACCCUCACAACAGUAUCUACGACAAGAGAAGGAGAAGCUCUGUUAAAAUGGAAGAACAGUCUACCACCAUCCUCUUCCCUAAAUUCUUGGUCACCCGUCAAUCUCAAUAAUUUGUGUAACUGGACUGGCAUUAUCUGUAACUCUGCAGGUUCAGUCUCAGAAAUAAACCUUUCACUAAAACAACUUAGUGGAACGCUUGCCAAUUUCAGUUUCACUUCAUUUCCAAAUCUUAAUAGUCUUGACAUUAGUGGCAACAACUUUACAGGUCCAAUACUACCUGCCAUUGAAAAGUUCACGCAGCUUCAGCAUCUUGAUUUUAGCUUUAACAAGCUCAAUGGUAUCAUUCCAAACCAAAUUUGGCAUCUUCAGAGAUUGCGCACCUUAGACCUGUCAGUUAAUUACUUGGAAGCUUCAGACUGGUCUAGUUCUUUCUCCAUGCCUUUUCUGACCAACCUCGACCUUAGUUUCAAUAAAAUUGGGGCAAGAUUCCCAGGCGUUACAUCCAAUUCUUGUAACCUAACAUGUCAAUUGUUGCCUGAGUCAUUAGUUAACAAUCUGCAUAAUCUGGAAGUCCUUUCUCUUCAUCACAAUUCUCUCGACGGGCCAUUUCCACCAAGCAUAUUCAAGCUUUCCAAAUUAAGAUAUCUCUCCCUAUCAAGUAAUCAUUUUUCAGGUUCUAUUCCGGAUGAUAAGGGAUGCUUGGUGAUCUUGAAUCCCUUUAUCUGGGUCACAAUUCUUUUGAGGGGCCCUUCCCACCAAAUAUUUUCGGUUUUUCCAAAUUAAUAAAUCUGUCUUUAUCAGGGAAUAGCUUUUCAGGUUCUGUUCCAGAUGAUAUAAGGAUGCUUAGUGAUCUUGAAUACCUUGAUCUUAGUCGGAAUUUUUUUGAGGGGCCUUUUCCACAAAAAAUAUUCAAGCUUUCCAAAUUAAAAGUUCUUGACCUAUCAAGAAACAAUUUUUCAGGUUCUAUUUCAGAUGAUAUACGGAUGCUUCAUAGUCUUGAGUUGCUCCAUCUUGAGUACAACUCUUUUCAGGGACCCUUUCCACCAAAUAUAUUGAAGCUUCCGAAUUUAAGAGUACUUGACCUAGCAGACAAUGACUUUUCAGGUUCUAUUCCCAGUGAUAUAAACAUGCUUCAUGAUCUGAAAAUACUUUCAUUGUUUUCUAAUUCAUUUGAAGGAACUAUUCCUUCUUCUAUAAGUCUACUCAAGGAGCUACGAUACCUUCACCUCGGGUCUAAUCAUCUCAAUUCCACUAUUCCUUCUGAGCUGGGGCUCUUGGCAAACCUUGACCGAUUAUAUCUUGAUUCCAAUAAUCUUACUGGCAAUAUCCCUCAUAUCUGAACAUGUACAACAAUUACUUUGACGGAGUGUUGCCUCAAUCUUUUGCCAACUGCAAGCAGUUAAAAGUUCUUGAUAUAGGAAACAACAAAAUAAGUGGUACAUUUCCCUCAUGGCUAUUUACUCUUGCAGAGCUAGAACUCCUUGUCUUGCGGUCCAAUAGACUUUAUGGUACAGUAAGUUUAAGAAGCACAACAGAUCCCUUUCCCAAGUUGCGCAUCAUGGAUCUCUCAAACAAUGACUUCACAGGCUAUUUGCCAAUUCAAUAUUUCAAAAAUAUGAAGCCGGUUGAUAAGGGGUAUGAUUAUCACAAUUUCACAGCACCAUUUUAUUACUACUAUCAAGCAUCUAUCUCGUUAACUGUGAAAGGGACCGAGUACCAAGUGAGUAAAAUUCUUCAUAUUUACACAGCCGUUGAUCUGUCAUGCAAUAAAUUUCAAGGAGAAGUCCCAAAGGUCAUUGGAGAACUUAAAGGGCUGGCAUUGCUCAAUUUAUCUCAUAAUAGUCUUACUGGACCUAUCCCAUCACAGCUCGGAAAUAUGAAAGCACUCCAAUCUCUGGAUUUGUCUUCAAAUCAAUUCACAGGGGCUAUCCCAUACCCGUUAAUUGGUUUGACAUUUCUAGAGGUCCUGAACCUCUCAUAUAACCAUCUCACCGGAGAAAUUCCCCAAAAAGGACAACUGAGCACGUUCAGUAAUGAUUCUUACCUAGGUAAUCUUGCCUUGUGUGGAUCUCCUUUAACAGAGAAAUGUGCACACGAAGAGUCACCACCACAAGAAGUCGGAUAUGAUGAAGAUGGUGCAGAUAAUAAAUUCCAAUGGAAAGUAGUCCUAAUGGGAUAUGUUAUCGGAUUAGUAUGUGGAUUGUCUUCAGGGUACAUUUUUCUCACAACUGGAAAGCCUUGGUGGUUUUUGAGAUACAUCGAACAACUGCAUAGCAAAAGUUGAUCAGAAGAUUCACGUAGAGUACUGUUUGAUUAAGAUGAGCAAGUUGAAAAGAAUGUUUACUAGACCAGUGGUAUGUCGGGAACAUUAAUGUGUGGUGUCAUAUAAUAUUUGAAAUGCUAAUGUCAGUGCUAGUUCUAGUUCGGGUCUGAUACUGAUUUACUCGUCUCAGAGAUACAUAUUUGUGUUCAAUGUUAAUACAAAACGGAAAAAACAUACUACACAUUAAAUCAACUUUGUAUCAAGUCGAGUUUUGGAGAUGCCAUGAUCAAAAGAAAAACACGGUGAAUGAUAUUUAUUAAGAACACGACUUGAACUAUAAGUGCAUGAAAAUCGUCUUUCAAAGUAUGGCAGGGGUGUGAAUCGUGCACACCAUGGAUAGUCACUUGAAAGCUAACCAUUCUGAGGUUCGUGGAAGCUGAUUUCAUACUCUUGAAAGCUAUCUUUAGGACGUCGAAACUUUAAUUUGUGUUGCAUAACAUUUCAUUAUGCAAGACAGAUGGUUUCAGGGAAACUAUACUGGAGAGCAAGUACCAAACAGUAAGGUAUACUUUGGAUGAUGAAAUUCCUCCCUGAUUUUUACAUCAUUUCUAGUUUUAAACGUGACAGAACAUUCGGGCGAAUGUUCUGGUCAAUUUUUUCAUGGUUGGGCCAAAAGAAUUAUAGUACAAAUGGGUGAGAAAGUUACAUUUUAGAGAUCGCUUCUCAUUAUUUAUAAUGACGAUCAAUUUUAUUUGAUUACUUUUAAUUUUAUCUUUUAUACUUAUUAAAAACACAGAAGAUCGUGUAAACAAAAUUAAUACAAAACGUACUUAUUCAUAGGAAAUGAUUUACCUCACUUAACUGCGCUUAAUUAUUUGAAAGGAAAGAAUACAACACAAAAUUAAAUAUAUAAAGAUCUGUUAUUUGUUAUUUGGAAAUGAGGAAUUUUUUUAACAUAAUCAUUGAUAACAUAUUUUUCCAACUUAUUUAUAUCUGCCAGAAUUAAAUAAAAUACGCCUCAAUAGGUUAUCAUUCUUAAUGUCAAAUUGCAAAAAUAUAUAUAUUUUUAUUUAUGUCAUAUUCUUAGAAAAAAAUUAAUAACAAGAUAAUAAUCCCUAGCUUUAAAGGGAGGAAAACAAGUGUAAAAUAAAUAAAGUAAUUUAACUUUCACUUAUAUUAUUAAGAUAAAAGUAAGCGGAAAUAAAUAUAAAUUCAACAUAUUUAACUUACCCUUCAGAAUCCAUAAGUUUGGAACAAGUAGAUUGAGCACAAGACGAAGGCCACACAUGCGCAUCAUCUGAUGCAGCUAUGGUGCCUUUACAGUUGCUCAUACAUAUAGUGAAACAAUAAGGAUCAACUCCUCCAUUGUGCGUACACAUUUUCAUACAAGCUAUAAAGCAUGGUGAUAGAGUCUUUGCAAUCUCAUCAUGACCAGCACAUCCGAUCAUGAUAAACUCUAGCAGGAUCAUCCAAGUAAUAAUUUUCUUAAUGAUAUUAAUUAUCAUUGUGAAUAGUUGUAUUGAGUUAUGCAUGUGUGUGUAUAUAUAUGCAAUGGAUUUUGUGGUUGAGAAUAUCUGUUAGAUUUUGUAUAUCCAUAACAAUUAUUAAAAUUUGAACAAUAAUAUCUAUUAUUGGUUGUGAUCGACUAUUGUAGUAGUCCAAAAAAUCUAUAUUACAUUUAAAAAGAUUAUACAUGAAAUACAAAAGCUUUUUAUUAGGACUGUUGUUAAAAAUUGCUAUGUUGUACGAAAAAAUGCUGAUAAAAAAUGUGUUACAGAAAAAAUGCUGAUAAAAAAUGUGUUACAGAAAAAAUGCUGAUAAAAAAAAUGUUGUAGAAAUCAGAUAUGACAGCUUCCCACAAAAGCUAAAAAAACAGUUUUUUUCCAUAAUAAUAUGGGAGGAGAAAAACUGUUUGUAGAAUUAUUGAACAAUUUUUCACAUAUUUUUCGAUAAAAAGCUGUUGUUAUUGUCUUCAGUAAUGCCAAACAGUGCCGAAAUCAUUUUGAAAUCAUUUUGCAGGUAGUUAAUCUCACUUCCAUAUAAUAUAGUACUCCUAUAUAUUAUCGAAAAAACAUGAAAUGAUGCAAAGCUCAUACUAUUGACAACAGGUAAACUCCUUGCAAUACUUUGAGCUGCAAAAUCCAUCAAAUUUUUUGAUUUAUCAACGUAACUGUUUGACAGAGUACUUCCAAGCUAAGCAUCAAAAGUCACUACCUUACGAAAUAUAUCUCACCCUACCUUCUCUGCUUAUAAGCUGUUUUGAGUACUUUUACCAAGCAUAUUUUCCAUUAAGCGUGAAAGGCACAGAAUAAUUAAGGAUCACCUAUCCCAUCAGUGCCGGGGAAUAUGGAACCAUCUCAUCAAUUAACUAGUUUAACAUUUCUCGCGGUCUUGAACCUCUCAGAAAACCAUCUUAUACUAAUGUGCCGACUUCCUUUGACGAAGAAAUGGUGAUGCUGAUGCUAAUGAUAAUGAACUUAACUGGGGAGUGAUCCUUAUGGGAUACGGAUGUGGAUUGAUAUGCGGAUUUUCUUUGGGGUUUAUGUUUUGUGGUUUGUGAGAUACAUUGAAGUACUGCAGCUGGAGUUGAUCAUUAUAAAGAACAUAGGCAAGUUAAUCGCUUAUUGAAAUUAGUAAUUGUCAAAAGUAAAAUGUUGAAAUUACUUUUUUCGAUUGAAAUCAUCGAAAAAAAGUCUCUGUCGAAAUUGAUCUGCCAAAAUUAUGUUUAAUAUCUACGGCCAGGAUUAUCUGUCGAAUAUAUUUCCCGACAAUUUUAAAAGACAAAUUUUUCGCCUCUCAGCUGUGAGCGGGAACAGAUAUCUUCGACAGAAUUCCAUUGAAAUUAGCUAAUUUCAACAUAAAUUUUCUAUCGAAAUUACUUGAGUUCUUUGUAGCUUGUUUUCACAAAUACGCUGAUAGCCUUUGGGGACGGGUAUAUUGUUUUCACAAAGCCCUGGUGGUAUGUGAGAUGCUUCGAAGGACUGCAACUGAAGUCGAUAAGAACAUGCAGAAAGAAAACCGAUCCAUCUUGAUGAACUUGAAAAAUGUUGUCAUAUGGUGAUAUAUACUCCCCUGGCCCCAGUCUCUUGAAAAAAACUUGGCUGAUUUUUUUUUUUUCAGUAUCUAUCCCUAAUAAUUGCAGCAAAUUAAAAAAUAUAGUUAUAUCUUUUUAGCAAUGGUGCAAUCUGGAAAGCUUUCUCAUCAUCUUCUUCUUUUCUUUAUCUCAUUACUCUCAUCUAACUUGACGAUCCUAUCUGCAACAUUUCGCCAAGGAGAAGCUCGUGUGGAAUGGAAGAACAGCCUAUCCCCGAAUUCGUUUCUUGGUUCACUAAUUAAUCUCACUUAUCUUUGAAAUUAAGUGGACUGGCAUUGUAUGCAACUCUGCAGGUUCAGUCAGUCAGAUUAAUCUUCAAGAACUCACAGGAACACUUGCUAACCUCGGUUUCUUUUCGUUUUCAAAUCUCACCAAUCUCAACAUUACACAUAACAACUUCACUGGUCCAAUACCACCCGAGAUUGGAAAUUUAACAGAUGUUCAGUACCUCGACUUUAGCUAUAAUAAUCUCAAUGGUACCAUUCCAUACCAGGUCAGCCAUCUUCAGAGGUCGGUCGUCUUCGGCCUCUAAUUUAAUCACUUGAAAGCUCUAAGCUUGUCCAAUUUUUCCCCCAUGCCUAUACUGGUUGGUCGCGGUCUUGGUGGUAAUAAGCUGGCGUCAAUUUUUCCAGAAUUCAUAUCUAAUUGCUAUAACAUGAUUAACCUUGAUCUUUCAUUUAACAUGUUAACUGGUAAUCCCUUCAACAACUUGCGAAUCUUGGAUCUCUCGGACAAUGAAUUCACUGGUUACUUGCCAAUCCAAUAUUUUAAUAAUAUGAAACCAGUUGAUACUGUGAUUGAUUAUUACAACCUCUGUUCUAAAAGUCGGUGAUUAAUCACGAUUAAUUAAUCACUGAUUAAUCUAUGUUCCGUAGCUCGCCAAACUGAUUAAAUAUCCGAUUAUUCUAAUUAAUCCCCGAUUAAUCACCGAUCAAUGUAAUUAAUCUCCAAUUAAUCUUUAUUCCGAAACUUCACCGAUUAAACUCGAUUCCCACUUUUUACAACACUGAUUACAACAUAACAGGGAAUCAUGAUUAUCAAGCAUCUGUCUUGUUAACAUUGAAACAAAGAGAGCAUGAAGUGAAAGGAAUCCUUUAUAUUUACGAUGUCAACAGCCCUACUGUCAAAAUUCCUUUCAAGUCGGGGCUUUUUACGAUUAUUUGGUAAUUCAGUGUUGAACUCCGCUCAACUUAUAAUUAGAUAAUCGAACUCAAAAAUCUUGCAAUCAACAAAUAAAUUAUUGAAAACUUGCAAUUGAAUAAUGGCCGUCAAGUCACUUAACAAUACUAACCGAAAACGAACGUGACGGGCUGAUGUGUUUAAAAAAAUGCAUGAUGACUAUAUACGUGAUGUUUACGACCCUGACUAAUAUAUCCAACAAAUAAUACAUUCAACCUGAUCUAAUAAUGUAAUACAUCUACUUAAAUAUAUUUUCAUGCCAAAUAUUUAUAGAUUUGUUUUUACAAAAAUGAUUAGAGACUUUUGCAUAUAUAAAAAUUGAGAAUUAUUGCUUGACUAGACAAAAAUAGGUGAGUUGUGAUUAUAAUAAAUAUUUAUUUCUACGAUGUAGUUUUUAUUAGUUAUAUAUAAAAAAAAUCUUGCUCUAUUUUGAUACUAGUGCAAUGAUUACUUCAAUUUAUUUUUUAUACGAGUUAGUAAGAUAUAUGACUAACUCAUCUUGCACUCGUAUUAAUUGUCUUAUAUAAUAUUAAUAACAAAAAUAUGAGGCGGUGCUUAGUCAGAUGAUUUUAGUUGUUAAAAUAUUUUUUUGUUAUUUAUAGAUAGUGAAACUUGUCUCAUAUUUUAUCUAUUUUGUUUCGUUUCUUGAGAUUUCCAAAUAUUUAUUAGGACAUUGUACCAUGGUGUAUUUCAAGAUAUUAUUGUUAUUUAGAUAAUUAGUCAUAUUCAAUGAAUUUUGAGGACAAAAUUUAAAUAAGAGGAGAACAAUGUCAUAUCUCACGUAUUAGCAGUUUUAAUUAUUUUAUAUUUUUAUUUUAAAGAUAAGAUAAAGUUUAUUUAUUUAAUUGUUUUUAUCUUAAAAGCGAUUUUGAGUUGUUUGAGUUAGAUAUAUACUCCUACUGUGGUUCAACUAGUUUUGCCGUAAGUGAAUAAUUUCCGGUCAAUAUUUUGAAAUUUGUUGUUAUCUUCUAAUUAAGAUAAUUAAGGGGUUAAAUAGCUUUUGAAAAAUGUGAAAAAAAUCAAAAAAAUUGGGAAACCAAAAGUGGCAAGCUUUUUUUUUUUUGUUCUUUUUAAAUUUUCUAAAAUCUGGGGAAAAAAGAACUUGCCACCUAAUUUUUUCCAAAUUUUUUCAAAUUCUUUUCAGAUUUUUGAAUUUUUUCCCCAAUUUUUCCUCACUUUUUUCUGAUUUUUUUUGAAUUUAUUAAGAUUUUUUUUGUUUUUUCUGCUUAUUCUGAAUUUUUUAAGAUUUAUUCGCAUUUUUUUCAUAUUUUUAAAAAAUAUUUUUGAAUUUUCCGUUAAGUAAUUAAUGGAACUGACGGAGAGUGAUGCUUUUGAAAGUUUUUAAUUACUUGAUAAUGCGUUUGAAAAUUUUUUCAACAACAUGACCCAGUUGCAAGUUUCCGGCGAGGUUAGUGAUGAAUUAGUUAUUUAACUCUUAAUAAAAAUCUAUCUAAACAAUAUUAUAAAUAUAAUGUUAUGGGUUCGAUGAGUCGUGUAAAACAUGGAAGAAGUUUAGGUGGGGUAAAAAGAGCCUAGCUGUGUGAUUUCCAUUCUGUUAUACGUGAUAUACUGUAGUUGAUCAUCUCCUUUGUCCGCUUCAUCCUGUGCAACCUUAACCUUUAAGGAAAAACUUAUGAGAUUCUCUACUGCAUCUAAAUUCUUGUGUGAAGAAUGUGAAGAAAAAUGUUAGUCUCAGAUUAUUUUUCCUAAAAUGCUUGCAUGUUACAUUUUAUAUGUAUGUCCUGACUUUAAGUAUAAUUUAGCAUUUUUAUUUAGUAUUGUGUAAAAAUAAUAUAUUUUAUUCAGUCUUAUUAAAAAUAUAAUCAUGUUAUACUGUAAAAGUAUUUGUGAAUUUCUUUGUUACAUAUGUGUUUAAAUUAUUUUAUUUAUAUAUGUUUUACAAUUUUUUACAAAUAUAUAAGUUGAGUAUUGCAUAGGAAUAUAAUUACACGUUAGCAAAUAUGAUUAUGUGUAAACUGUUCUGCGUGCAUGUAUAUUGCUGCUAAGUUUUAAACUUCUUACUAACCGGAAUAAUUUUGACAGAUGUGUGGAACUUGAUUAAUUUAGUUGCACUAUAAGAGAAAGCGUUUUUGUCAAUAAAAAUUGUUAAGGAAAUUAGUCCGUUGGUAGUUCUCAACGGAUUUGUAACAAUUUGACUGGUCAAUGUUCUGUCAACCAAUUAGUAAUGAAAUACCCACACUUAUUUACCAACGAGAUGUUCUAUUAGGAAAUAUAGCCACACAAUGGAAUAGUAACAAAAGACCAAGGAAUGAGCAACAUACUAGCAACGAAAGUAUCUGUUAUUAAAUAUUCCCUUGAUAAAUACUAGACUUUUUAGCACUUUGGUGCAGUGGCGGAGCCAGCCAUAAACUUUAAUGGGGGCCAAAAAUAACUUUUUAAGACAUCAUAAAAGAUGAUAGUUUAUAAUCAAGCAUCUCCCAUUAUAUUUUGAAGUAUACUUUUAAUAAGAUUAAUAGUUUGAAAAACUCUUUCAACAUUGUCUGUUGCAACAUCAAAAUUAACUUACAUUAGUUAUAUGAAUUCAAAUAUCCAUAUCAAAUUUCGAGAUAUCGAAGAAAAGAAUAGAAAACGUGCAUGUUCUACUUUUUGAAUAGAAAGAAAAUAAAGGAAUAAUAGUGAACAACCAAGAAGGCAAGAAGUAAUCGAUGAUAACCAUAAAGCCCAGAAGAGGUGGAUGAUAGAAUGUCGUCCCAGCUAAUGUAUGUCUAUAUAUUAAUAUUAAAAACUAUAAAAUCUCUAGUGGGGUCCAGUGCCCCCACAUGCCUCUACAUGCCUCCACCACUGCUUUGGUGGCUUGUACUAUUUCAAAUUUGCACGUUAGUGGCCCACCUUUAAAAGUCAUCAAUUGUGUUGCUGAACUUAUUUUUUUUUAACACAUUAGGGGCUCUGCAUCAUAUCCGUUAAAUCGAAGUAACGGCGUCAAAUGAUCAAUACAUAUCUCCUCCUCCUCUUAUUUCCCUCCAAAUUAAAAACGAAACGGCUACCCCCUUUUCCGAAGCAAGAACGACGACGAAUUCCUGCUUACAGAGAUGAGUUGGUUCCGGCGUCUUAAAGAGGAUGCUGAUGUGUAUCAGCCUCGACAGUGCCCCGAUUACUGUGGUAAGCUCUUCAACUUUUCUUCUUUGUAGCAUAUGAAAUGAGUUUAAUUGACCAUUAUUUCAGUGUUUGUUGUUGUUAGUGGCUAGUUGUUUAGUAUUAUGGACCUGCAAUUGCUUUAUACUAUUAAAAUGGAAGAUUCUGCUUGUGGGUUUUUAAAAAUUAGGGCUUUUACAUAGUCCAAGAUUCGGUCAUUAUAAAAUCAAUUUAUGCCUGUUUUAGUAUAAUGCUUGUUGUUAGUGGCUAUUUGUUAAGUAUAGUGUUGUUUAUUGUAAAUAAAACUGUUGCUUUGCACUCUACAUUUGCAGAACCUGGUGAUUUUACCCUAAAAAUAUAUCAUGGGGCCGAUUGGGUAGAUAACCCUAGGGCAUAUGUGGGAGGUACAGUAGAUUUCUUUGACUUCUGUAAUGCUGAUCAGAUCAGCAUAAUUGAGAUAUAUAGUAUGUUGAAAGAGGUUGAUGAGUUUGGGUUUCACCAACUGUGGUAUAAGCUACCUGGCACUACAUUCGAUAGAGCUUUUGUACUAAAUAAUGAUGAGGAGCUAAUGACCAUGUGUGAGCUUAUAUCUGAUGUGGAUAAGUAUAUGGAGAUUUAUGUCACCACUAUGGCACAUCUAAGUACAGUGCCCUAUAGAGAUUUAGAGGUUGAAUUUGUUGAACCAACUCCUAAAGAAGCACCUGAAAAGAACAAUCCAUCACCUGAAAAGAUCAAUCCAGCACCUGAAAAGAUCAAUCCAGCACCUGCAAAGAUGUAUCCAGCACCUGCAAAGAGCAUUCCAACUGUGGGAAAUGAUGAUGAUCAGGAAGAGUUUGAGUUUGAUUUUGACAAUUGAUAGAAUAUAUUUUUGUAUAUAUUCUAUAUGAUUUUAUUCCCAUAUUUAAUUAUAUUUUGCACUGAUUUGGAUAUUUAUUUAAUAUAUUUUCAUGUUUUAUUGUAGGGAAUAAAGAAUUCCAAGUUGAGAAGGAUUUGAAGAUAAAUUAGCUAUUUUGGAGUUAAAUUCUAAAGAAAUUCGGAUUUAUUGGGUUUUACCCGAUUUCUGCACUGUUUGAGCCAUAUCUUGAGUUCCGGAUGUCGGAAUUGGACGUUCUUACAGCUCACGCGAAGCCCUUGAUAUUUCCUUUAAUUUAGAAGUGGCCCAGCAAGAAAAGUCCAACUGGAAAAGCCCGAAAACUGGACAGAACAGAAAGCUACGAAUUUUGAGACUAAAUCCUACUUGGUUUUGGAGUUUUAUUCAUAUAUUAGUUUUAAAUAUUAAAAGAGGUAUAUUAUUAGAGAUAGGAUUAGUUUUUAUCAUUGUACAAUAUUAGAGUAGGUUAGGGUUAGAGAGAAACUUAGAGGAGAGGCCAUUACUCUUUUUUGGAUGACAACAAUGAAGGUUUAUAAAGGUUUUCUUCUAUAGUUUUCUUCUCUUUACUUGUUAGUUUAAUUAUGUCUUUUAAUUAUUCUAGUUGUUUAAUUAGUAUCGAGUAGUGUGUUCUAGGGUUUAAGGGGAAGCCAUGUUUGCGUUAUGAUGUUGGCAUGAUUUAACAGUGAUUUGAUUGAUUGGUUAAUUCUAAUUGAUAUGUUUUAAUAUUGAUUUAUGUAAUCGGCCGAUAUCAUGAAUUGAUUCUAUGCGAAUAGGAGUAUGAUCGAGAGAUAUACGACUAGAGGCACACAUACAAUUAGCAGAAUUGAAUUUGAGUGCGAGAGCAUCAUUGAAUUUCUGAAAGCGUUAAUACUCGAGAGAGAUUAACAUUGCUUUAAUUAUCUGAUUAAUUGGAUUACUAAAAGUGAUUAUUUGUGUAAGCAUGUUUCGAGAGUGUUGAUACUUGAGAGAGAUUAACAAACUCUAGUUUCAUGACCGCUUUAAUUGCUUUAGCUUAGAGCCAGUCAUUGUCUAAGCAUGGUGGACCUGAUUGCCCUGGAUUUUUAACAUAUUAUUUUAGUGUCUAUUUAGUUAGUGUUAAUAUAAUAAUGUUUAUUUAGUUAAAAAUAUUUCUUUCGAUCAUCGUUGAUUUGGGAACAAUUGAAUGUAACUUAAUAAAAUUGAUAGCAUCUGUCUCCUCGAGGAUACGACCCGCAUUUGCCAGUCUACACUACAAUAGACACCGUGCGCUUGCGGUAGUUAUAAUUUAACACAUCAAGUUUUUGGCGCCGCUGCCGGGGAGACGGCUAGUUUCUAUUAGUUUUGUUUGGUUAUCUAGAUUGUUUCCUUUGCCUCGUUGGAACCCUUGUUCCAAUUGAGGCGGAUUUUACUCUGUUUUCUUGGCUGUGUUGUGUUUUUCAGGUUUACAAUGGACGGAGUUGAUAACUUUGCACGUCUAUCUUCCCUGAUCGAGGCAUAUACUCGUGAAAAUGCCUCAUUGAAUGCUACAGAGCCCACUACACGUCCACUGAGUAUCAACGAGAUGUCACAAGCUGCCCCGAAGACUUAUAACUUCUGUCAAGUUUGUGGUGUUCAGGGUCACUAUGGUUAUGAAUGUUCUUACAAUGUAUUUAAUUCUCAGAAUGCUCAGUUGGGACAUGUGAAUGAUUAUCAAGAAAGAUAUGAGUACAAUCACUAUUCUAAUUCUUGUGAUCAACAAUGGAUGGGUCAACCAGAUUUCUCUUACAUGGACAAUGAAUUUCAAAAUUUCUCAUAUCAUGAUCAACAACAAUUUCAGCAACAUCGUUAUGAAGAACCACCACUACAGCAAUAUGAUCAGUUUGAGCAGGAAUAUCAUCAACCUCAAUAUGAGCAACCUCAGUUUCAGCAGUAUCACUAUUCUCCACUUCAACAAGAGCUACAGGUUCCUUUAACCAAUGUAGAUGUGCCAUCGUAUCAGACGAAUGAGGUAUGUGAUAUGUUGAUAUAUAUGACCAAGAGUUUUGAGGAUGGUAUCAUGAACUUCCAGAAAUGCAUUGAUGAGAGUACCAUGAUGAUUAAAGAAUUAAAAGCUGAACAACUGAUGAUGGAAGGUCAAAUUGCACAAUUGUCUAGUUCUUCUUCUACAUGUCAAACCGAAUCCUCUCCACCUCCAUGUCUUCAAGUUGAAGAUGACAUAAAUACUAUCAUUCUUGCAAGUGAUAAAGACAGUGAUAGUUUUUCGAUCUGUGAUGAUGAUGCGCCUAUUGGUAAAGGGGAGGAUCAUGUCAUUGCCAAUGAAAUUGAUGAUGUUGUUGAUGUUGUGGACCAUGUGCGUGAUGAUGAGCUAAGUGAAGAAAGCAAUAUCGAGUUGGUAGUAGUUUCUCCUCCGCCUUGUGUGCUUAAAUUACCAUUCUUGAAAGGAAUCAACUUAAUCAAGGUGGAUCAACAAUUUGAUAUGAAAAACUUUGCUUUUACUCGAACCUCAGCUCCAAUAUUUGAGAGCACAUGUUUUAAAGUUGAUGUGAUGAUUGUCCAAGAUGAGAUUUCUCAGAAUAUUUCCUAUGAUCCAUUUCAAAAGGCUCUUACACCUCAAGUCUUGGAAGAAGGUGUUUGCAAUAUUGACUUUUUAUUCAUUGAAGCAAGAAGAAGCCAAGAGAUUCAACUAGCUCCUGCGAAAGUGAGGAGUUCUGAAAAACCACCACCGGAGCCUCCACCUCAUGUGAAUAUCAAGGGAGUUCAAUCUUUUGAUGGAUGUGAAUUCUAUCGUUGCUUUAUCAUAAAGUUCUCCAAAUCUAUGAAAUAUAUUGAUCAGUUGUUAUAUCUUGAUGCGACAAUUAAUUUUAUUAAUGCUUGUUUGGAGACUUUCUGCAGGAUAAAGACAACAUUUGAUGUUAAGGAUUUUAUUUUUGGUGGUGAGAUCAUGUUUGAGAAAGCGGAAACUCCGCCUUUUACAUAUUCUUUUUGGAGGUAAAAAGUCAAGCUAAUGACUCUAAAAGAGCGCUACUUGGGAGGCAACCCAAGGUCUCUAUUAGUUUAUUUAUAUAAUAUAUUUUUGUAUUUUUUUAGGAGCUUAAAAUUUUUAUUUUCAUUUUUUUUACUCCCAUAAGAUGCCUUGAUGAAUUUGUGUGAAGUGUUUUCAGAUAUUAUAUCCAAUCACUCAUGCGGCUCCUUUUUAAAGUUCNNNNNNNNNNNNNNNNNNNNNNNNNNNNNNNNNNNNNNNNNNNNNNNNNNNNNNNNNNNNNNNNNNNNNNNNNNNNNNNNNNNNNNNNNNNNNNNNNNNNNNNNNNNNNNNNNNNNNNNNNNNNNNNNNNNNNNNNNNNNNNNNNNNNNNNNNNNNNNNNNNNNNNNNNNNNNNNNNNNNNNNNNNNNNNNNNNNNNNNNNNNNNNNNNNNNNNNNNNNNNNNNNNNNNNNNNNNNNNNNNNNNNNNNNNNNNNNNNNNNNCAUAUCUUCUGUNCUUUUAGUAAACAGUAGAAGAAGAGCUGUGGUGCUACGAUGUCUAGCUGCGGCUCCGGAGCUUCUGCCAAGCACAAUUUGUUCGCGCUAGUUUUUCACAAUCUACUUGAUAACUUGAAGCAGAGCUCCUAACUCCCAAGAUCAUCUGUUCCCUGUUCUGCUACAUGGAGUCCACGCACCCAGCCCAUUCAAGUCCAGAAGCCCAUGCACGGAGCCUGUUCUCAAUUCAGCCCAUGCUCCAAGCCCAAGACCACACCACCUGGGCCCAGUACAGGGGGUGCAUCUCAGCAACAGAGGCCCAGCCCACCAGUUGAUCCUCGAAGUCCAGCUGCUUCAGUCCAGUAAAAGUCUGCGUGUGUAUGCCUACAAAAAAGAACUGUUGCUGGUAGGAAUCGAAGACGGGUCAAUUACAAAGCAGAUCUCAGGAGCCACCUACCAACCACUGGGCCAACUGAUUCUUUUGUUGAGGAAACGCAUCCAGUUUAACAAAAACUUGAGAAGUCAAGAGCCAAUUCAACACUCAACAGCAUUUCAGGGGAGUAUUCCUUUUAACCACUAUUGUGUAAUUAUAUUAUUAUAUUUAUAUAUUUCUAUCAUAUUUGUUCAUUGAGGACAAUGAACCACUUUAGUGUGGGGAUGGUUUCUCAAUGAUAAAAAAUUAUAUAUCAUAAAAUUCAAAAAAAUAGAAAAAUUAAAAAAAAAUUGUAUAUUGCCAUGUCUUAAAUUAGGAAAUUCAUGUUAGUUGCAUUAUAUUAGAGCUAGUUACUUAAUUUUGUAUGCCAUUUUUUAGUAGAUUUUUUUCUUCUUCUUUCUUUUAGGUUACAUAAUUCAUGAAAGUAUAUAAUACCGAGUUAAUUUCUCAUGAUGAGUUUAUUUGCAUAAUUAUUUGGCUAGUAGUCUUGAUCAUAUGUGAUGUCUUGCAUGCUUAGAAAUUGCUUGUGCGGAAAUUUUAAAUACACUAUAAAAUGCUCUAGAGACAAGACUGAGACUAACUUAAUUCUUGAGUUUUAUCUAUGAGUUGAGUGUAGAAUUUUGACUAUUCCCUUUUAAGCUUAGAGUAUGUAAAUCUUAAGUUUAGGGGAGUUUUAGGAUGUAUAUGCCUUUCUAGAAAAAUGAAAAAAAAAAUAGAAUAUUGCAAAUAAAGUAUCGAGUACUCCUUUGAGAUCAACGGGUGGUAAUAUUUGAAAGGGACGAUCCAUGUACUUGUGCUGGUAUUAAGUGCAAUUGUACUAGAAAUAAAUUUUCUUGGUGACUUUUCACAACCCUUGGUUACUGGAGAAUUACUUGACUUAAAAAAAAUAGAGAAAAAAAAUGAGCUAGCAAAGUCUUAUGGUGGUCGUAACUCACUUACCAUGAGAAGCUUCCCAACCUUUGACUGAGCAUGAAAAAAAAAAGUAGAAAAUAUAAGAGAGGCAUAGAAAUUCCUUUGCGACCCUGAGCUGUAGUUGACUCUAAUGUAACGAAGCGUUUAAGCAUUAUUCUGAUAAACGACUCAUGGUUAAGACUCUGUUGAACUUUGUUGGUGUCUGUUUUGUUUCAUUAGAGAGCAUGUUGAACACACACGAUUCACUCCGUACUUGCAGCGGAAAAGUUGCAUGACUAAUGUGUGAGAUAGAUGAAUGCCUUGAAUGUUGCUUAUUCUGAAGAUUAUUUGUUAACGAGGUUGAUGCUUUCAUGAUUGUAUUAUAUGCAUUUUCAUUUAGAUUGCAUUCAUAGUAGUUGCAUGUUUAAGACCGGUAGAAAAUAAUGAAUUUUGUGGGUAGAUUCGCUAUAAACCCUCACGAGACAAAACUCGUCCUACUAGGGCUGCCUAGAGGUUUAACGGCUUGUUGCAUGCGCUCAAUGCAAUCGUGUCAUCUACGAAAGUGGUGUUAGUUAGUUAGUUAGGAUAUUUUUAUUUCUUUUAUUUGCCCGAGGACGUGCAAAAGUUAAGUGUGGCGGAUGUUUGAUAGGGUAUAUAUUUACAUAUAUUCUAGAUGAUUUUAUUCUCAUAUUUAAUUGUAUUUUGCAUUGAAUUGGAUAUUUAUUUAAUAGAUUUUAAUGUUUUAUUGCAGGAAGCAAGGAGUUCCUAAACUUGGAGGAAAUUGGAAUAAAAAGCUUAAUUUGAAGAUUAAUUAGAAGGAAAUUCGGAUUUGUUGAAUUGCUUGCACUUGAAUCACUGUUUGGGCCAUAUCUUGAGUUCUAGAAAUCAGAAUUGGGUGAUCUUACAGCCCACGCGAAGCUUAGAGAAUUUUCUUUAAUUCAGAGAUGGUCCAAUAUCCAAAAUCCAACAGAAUCAGCCCAGGAAUAGGCAGAAAACAGAGCUACGAAUUUUCUUGAAGAAACCUAUUCUGUUUAGGAAACUGUUUUGUAUUUUCUUGUAAGUAUUAAAAUCAAAUAUAUUAGAGAGAGGGAUGGGUNNNNNNNNNNNNNNNNNNNNNNNNNNNNNNNNNNNNNNNNNNNNNNNNNNNNNNNNNNNNNNNNNNNNNNNNNNNNNNNNNNNNNNNNNNNNNNNNNNNNNNNNNNNNNNNNNNNNNNNNNNNNNNNNNNNNNNNNNNNNNNNNNNNNNNNNNNNNNNNNNNNNNNNNNNNNNNNNNNNNNNNNNNNNNNNNNNNNNNNNNNNNNNNNNNNNNNNNNNNNNNNNNNNNNNNNNNNNNNNNNNNNNNNNNNNNNNNNNNNNNNNNNNNNNNNNNNNNNNNNNNNNNNNNNNNNNNNNNNNNNNNNNNNNNNNNNNNNNNNNNNNNNNNNNNNNNNNNNNNNNNNNNNNNNNNNNNNNNNNNNNNNNNNNNNNNNNNNNNNNNNNNNNNNNNNNNNNNNNNNNNNNNNNNNNNNNNNNNNNNNNNNNNNNNNNNNNNNNNNNNNNNNNNNNNNNNNNNNNNNNNNNNNNNNNNNNNNNNNNNNNNNNNNNNNNNNNNNNNNNNNNNNNNNNNNNNNNNNNNNNNNNNNNNNNNNNNNNNNNNNNNNNNNNNNNNNNNNNNNNNNNNNNNNNNNNNNNNNNNNNNNNNNNNNNNNNNNNNNNNNNNNNNNNNNNNNNNNNNNNNNNNNNNNNNNNNNNNNNNNNNNNNNNNNNNNNNNNNNNNNNNNNNNNNNNNNNNNNNNNNNNNNNNNNNNNNNNNNNNNNNNNNNNNNNNNNNNNNNNNNNNNNNNNNNNNNNNNNNNNNNNNNNNNNNNNNNNNNNNNNNNNNNNNNNNNNNNNNNNNNNNNNNNNNNNNNNNNNNNNNNNNNNNNNNNNNNNNNNNNNNNNNNNNNNNNNNNNNNNNNNNNNNNNNNNNNNNNNNNNNNNNNNNNNNNNNNNNNNNNNNNNNNNNNNNNNNNNNNNNNNNNNNNNNNNNNNNNNNNNNNNNNNNNNNNNNNNNNNNNNNNNNNNNNNNNNNNNNNNNNNNNNNNNNNNNNNNNNNNNNNNNNNNNNNNNNNNNNNNNNNNNNNNNNNNNNNNNNNNNNNNNNNNNNNNNNNNNNNNNNNNNNNNNNNNNNNNNNNNNNNNNNNNNNNNNNNNNNNNNNNNNNNNNNNNNNNNNNNNNNNNNNNNNNNNNNNNNNNNNNNNNNNNNNNNNNNNNNNNNNNNNNNNNNNNNNNNNNNNNNNNNNNNNNNNNNNNNNNNNNNNNNNNNNNNNNNNNNNNNNNNNNNNNNNNNNNNNNNNNNNNNNNNNNNNNNNNNNNNNNNNNNNNNNNNNNNNNNNNNNNNNNNNNNNNNNNNNNNNNNNNNNNNNNNNNNNNNNNNNNNNNNNNNNNNNNNNNNNNNNNNNNNNNNNNNNNNNNNNNNNNNNNNNNNNNNNNNNNNNNNNNNNNNNNNNNNNNNNNNNNNNNNNNNNNNNNNNNNNNNNNNNNNNNNNNNNNNNNNNNNNNNNNNNNNNNNNNNNNNNNNNNNNNNNNNNNNNNNNNNNNNNNNNNNNNNNNNNNNNNNNNNNNNNNNNNNNNNNNNNNNNNNNNNNNNNNNNNNNNNNNNNNNNNNNNNNNNNNNNNNNNNNNNNNNNNNNNNNNNNNNNNNNNNNNNNNNNNNNNNNNNNNNNNNNNNNNNNNNNNNNNNNNNNNNNNNNNNNNNNNNNNNNNNNNNNNNNNNNNNNNNNNNNNNNNNNNNNNNNNNNNNNNNNNNNNNNNNNNNNNNNNNNNNNNNNNNNNNNNNNNNNNNNNNNNNNNNNNNNNNNNNNNNNNNNNNNNNNNNNNNNNNNNNNNNNNNNNNNNNNNNNNNNNNNNNNNNNNNNNNNNNNNNNNNNNNNNNNNNNNNNNNNNNNNNNNNNNNNNNNNNNNNNNNNNNNNNNNNNNNNNNNNNNNNNNNNNNNNNNNNNNNNNNNNNNNNNNNNNNNNNNNNNNNNNNNNNNNNNNNNNNNNNNNNNNNNNNNNNNNNNNNNNNNNNNNNNNNNNNNNNNNNNNNNNNNNNNNNNNNNNNNNNNNNNNNNNNNNNNNNNNNNNNNNNNNNNNNNNNNNNNNNNNNNNNNNNNNNNNNNNNNNNNNNNNNNNNNNNNNNNNNNNNNNNNNNNNNNNNNNNNNNNNNNNNNNNNNNNNNNNNNNNNNNNNNNNNNNNNNNNNNNNNNNNNNNNNNNNNNNNNNNNNNNNNNNNNNNNNNNNNNNNNNNNNNNNNNNNNNNNNNNNNNNNNNNNNNNNNNNNNNNNNNNNNNNNNNNNNNNNNNNNNNNNNNNNNNNNNNNNNNNNNNNNNNNNNNNNNNNNNNNNNNNNNNNNNNNNNNNNNNNNNNNNNNNNNNNNNNNNNNNNNNNNNNNNNNNNNNNNNNNNNNNNNNNNNNNNNNNNNNNNNNNNNNNNNNNNNNNNNNNNNNNNNNNNNNNNNNNNNNNNNNNNNNNNNNNNNNNNNNNNNNNNNNNNNNNNNNNNNNNNNNNNNNNNNNNNNNNNNNNNNNNNNNNNNNNNNNNNNNNNNNNNNNNNNNNNNNNNNNNNNNNNNNNNNNNNNNNNNNNNNNNNNNNNNNNNNNNNNNNNNNNNNNNNNNNNNNNNNNNNNNNNNNNNNNNNNNNNNNNNNNNNNNNNNNNNNNNNNNNNNNNNNNNNNNNNNNNNNNNNNNNNNNNNNNNNNNNNNNNNNNNNNNNNNNNNNNNNNNNNNNNNNNNNNNNNNAUGAUGUCAAAUUACUUAGUCUUUAAUGGUAUAUUUAUUAGAAUUAUGAAACUUAUUUUAAAAAAUUAUUUUGGACGAUCCAAACUGUAUGAAUGUUAUUUUAACAUGUUAAUAUUGAUUAAAAUUGUUUUUAAAAAAAAAUUAGUUGUAUUUUAUGUGUGAAUUUUUAGUCAAAUACGAUAAAAUAUUUAUUUAGCUUGUAAUGAAAUAUUAAAACCCUACUUCAAAAGAAACUUGUCUAAAACUACCUAUAAGUGUUAGAGAAUCAUCGAUUUAGUUAUCAAAUUAGUUAUCAUAAGGGUUUUACUCCGCUUUUCUCUGGUAUGAUGUUGAUUUUUGGGGUUUGAUUGGUCGAUUUUCAUGUUUUAUAAGUUAUGUGAGUUCGAUUUUGAUGUUUUUACAAUUAGGUUUAUGUAUGUUCUUAUACAGGUUUCAUGUUCAUGUUUUGAUUUGUUGAUUUCCUAUUUUUCAUAUUUUGUUGAUUAGUUAUUUGUGUGGGUUUUGAACUUUGAUGAGUGUGUAUGUAAUCUCCUGUUUUUUUUUCAUUUUUCUGGUUCGAACACUUCGAUUAGUAGCUGGAAAAACAGCUGAUGCGGCAGUAGCGGCUAGCGAGAUGGAUAACAAGAAAAGGAUGAUUUCGAGGUCAUCUCGUGCAAGUCUUCAGAUAUAGUUUUGUUCCUUUAUGUUUUUAAUUGACAUAAAUUUUCACAUUUGAUGAUUAUAUUAUGGGGGAUUCUGGGUAUACUUGUAUAUAAUCUAGCAAGUUAUUAUAAUUCUGGACGGGGGGCUUAUUGUGAAAUUAAAUUGAGGGAUAAGUUGUGUUAUUGGUUCUAGUGGAUUAAAUUUAUGUUGACACUUGAUAUAUGCAUUGAUGUCGUAAAAUAAGUUGCACAUCAAACUAUUUGGCUUGUUUAAGUUGUAUGGAGUAAGGCUGUACGCGGAUCGGAUCGGUUCGGUUGGAGGGUAAUAACCAAACCAAACCGCAACUUACGGUUUUCUAAAAUCUCAAACCGCGACCAUACUGUUGGUUAAAAAAACCCAACCAAAUCCAUCCACGUAAUUGCGGUUGGUUGCGGUUCAACCGCUAAAAUAGUUAUAACAAAGAAAAUAUAUAAGUUAUCGCUUAAAAUCUUGCAUAAAGUACAGGCUUUAACUCAAAAAUAUAUAAUUUAUCACUUAAAAUCUUGAAUAAAGUUAAUACAAUAAAUCUGAUUACAUAUUACAAAAGCAAACUAAUCCGGAAAUAUAUAACUUGAAGCAGAGCUUCAAGUUAAUGGUUAUUAAAAAUUUCAUCCGCGACCGCCCACAUUUUACGGUUAUCCAUAAUACACGGAUCGGUUGCAGGUGGUUGUUGCGGUUAAUGCGGUUGAGCGGAUUCAACGUACAGAGCCCUAUGAAGUAUGGUUGCCAAGCAUUGAUUGGUUGUACACGUAUAAACAAAAUGAUAUUUUAAUAUUUAAACAAAACAAUACAGUCAUAAACAGAUCGUGUCGGGCUGGACUGAUUGUGAUUUUCCUUUUUGGAACUCGUACUCGGCAUCUUCCAAGCGAAUGAUAUUUAGAAGUUUGUUGCUAGUAUACUCCAUGUCAUAAUAAGAGUUCUUUAGAUUUUUUAUAUGUAAUUCGAAGUAUAAAAAACAUAUUUUAACAUAUUAUUUUUAAAUUUUUUAUACAUAAAAAUAUAACAUCUAUAUUUUUAUUUAAAAAAAAAUUUGAAAUAUAAUAUAUGGAUGCAUGUCUUUUUUAUACGUGAAAUUACAUGUAAAAAAUUAAAAGACUCUUAUUUUGAGUAAGAGAGAAUAUGAUGUACCAUAAAGUCAUCGAUCUUUUGUUAUCAAAUAAAUGUGAUAUUUAAUUAUUUAAGAGCAAGUCCAAAAGUAUCUUAGUUAAAGUCCUAAAUAUAAUAUAAAAUAUUACGUUCCGGUGAUUUAGGAUAUAUUUUACUAACUUGGACUCCAACAAUGUGUCUUAUUCUCAUAAGAAGUUUAAUAUUUUAUUAUUAAAAACUCUCUUUCAUCAUUAAAGCAUAAUAUAAAAGUAGAGAGAGAAAAAAAGUGUUGAUAAGAAUUAAUAAUAAAAUAUGGGAUAGGGUAAGGAGAGAUGUGCCUCAAAAAUAGGGCUUGAGGAGGUUGUCCUAGUGAUAUAAGGGCAAGGAGAUCAACUUUUUACAUCAAAUGCCUUAAAUAACAAUUUAGGACAUAAUAUUGGGCAUCUGCUGGACUUGCUCUAAGUUGUUACUCCUUUAUUAGGUGUGGACACGGAGACGAAGAAGUAAAAGAUGAGUACAGUUAAAUGAAGAUGUGGUAAAAUAAUGUGACCCAUUUAUAUUUAAUAAUACAUUUGAAAUAGUGGAGGAAAGUAACGAGUGUAAUAACGUUUAUAUUAUUAUAGCAUAUAGAUAGCAGAAGAAAGCAAUGGGUAUAAAAGUGUAUUAUAUUAUUAAAAUUACUAUUUUUGAAAUGUUUAGAAAUAAUGGGGCAAUCAAAAAGAAAACUGUAUAAAAAUGGACGAGAGAAUACAAUUCAAGAAGUAAUAUAUCUCAAUUCAAACUAGGUAAUAUAUUUAUGAAUUAUAUUAAAAAAAAUUUGACAUUCAAAUAUAAAAAUUUAUUUUAUCAUCUUAACAAUGGAAUAUUCGAUUAUUAACUUUCGUAAAUAACAUUAAUUUUUCAUUAUAAUAUACUCUAAACUUUUAUUUUAUGUGCCUGUUUGUUUACAAGAAGCUGGAGUCCUACUUCUCUUGACUCGUUUGUGUAAAAACGUAAAAAGUGCUUUUAAAAAGUACUGAGAAGGAAAUGGAAGUAGAAAAUGCUAGUUUUUCUUUAUAAUAUCUAUUUCUUUUCUAGACACUUUAAUAAUUUAUAUAUAUUAAUUUAUUUCUCACUUAUACUCCAUUUUUUUAUAGAGAACUUCUUUUAAACUAAUCGGCUCCUAUAAUCAGUAGUUUCUCAAUUUUAACAGGAAUAAGAGCAUGUUUAUCUGAGCUUAAAGCCCGGGGUUUAUAUCAUCUCUGGCUUUAAGCUGAAAAAUGUAUGUUUGUGUAUUAAGUCGGAAGUCGGCUUAAAGUCGGAAAUAAGUCAAAAAUUGACCUAAAACCAGAAGUUAGUUUGAGAUACUUUUCUCGGUGACUAAUUUUUUUUUUAGCCAUUUUUUGAUAAAAAUUAUUCUUAAAUCACAAAUUACUCAUAAAUCACUUUUAUUAUUAUUAUUACUAUAUUUUUAAUAACUUAUAAGUUAUUAAUAAAUCAAAAUUAAUCAAACAAAUAUUUUAAGUUCUCAUAAGAGUUUAUGAGAUAAGUAACGUUAAGUCAUGAAUCAACUGAACGGGAUGUAAGUCUUCUUCUCCCCGAGUCAUCAGCAGACUUUUUCCAUGUCUUCUGAGCCCCCAUUGGCUCACAAUUGGCCCAAAAAAUAUUUGGUUAUGCAUUGCUAUUCACACACUUAGACAUCAAAAUUUAUCAUCCGACAGGCGACAGCUAACUGCACACUAUUUUUCCCACAAGCUGAAAAAUCAACGAUCAAUUAAUUUUUCUUAUCAAUUAAUAAAGUUAUGAUUUCACGUACACGGCAGGCAAAAUGCUAAUAAAUAGACGAGUGCAGUAUAGUAUGGGUUCAUGAUCACCUUGAGAUUUAAUUGAAAAAUAUUAUGGUGAUAUAGAUUAAAUUAAAUUAUAAUAUCUUGAAAAGUUAUAAAUAAUUUUAAUUACUAAUAAUAUUUAUUUGUACAUUUAAAUAUUUUUAUAAAAACACAAAAAUAGCAUUAUACUCAUUUAAGUUUCUCGUAUCCGCCUCUCUUCUUGGAGAUUGUGGAUUUGCGAUAUUUAUAUUGAUUAUUAUAGGAAAAUGUUAUUUCCAGAGCAAACAUUUUUAUUUCCGGAGCAAAUUCAAACAAAUUUUUCCAAAUUGUUCUGGAAAUUAAAAUAUUGAUAUGGAUAUAACAAUUCCCUUAUUAUAUCCUAUGUAUAUUACAUUAAUGCAAUUAACAUGGUUGAUUGUUUUAGUAUAUAAUCAUAUUACUGUGACCUUUUAGUAUAUAAUUAUAUUAUUUUUGUUAUAUUUUAUGCAUCUAGAAACAAUUUUUUUAUGAUAUUUAUUAUAUUAAUUAUAGUAAAAGAUAUAAUUUUGUUUAAAAAAUUGAAUAAAACUAAGAGGGAUAGCCUACGUCUCUCCGAGUCUUCGAGGACUCAUUCCAAGUCCGAGAGGACCACAGCCUCAACCUUUAAGAGAUGUGAAAGUAGCUUGAGAGUGAUAUAAAUUUAUUUUUGACAAUAAAAUUUAAUAAUCAAAUAAAUUAAAUUAAAUUAAACUAGUUUAUAAUCGAUUAAAAAUAUAUAAAUCAAAAUUAUUCCCGAAUUAUGAUAACAAUUAAAAUCAUUUUAAAAGUUGCAUAAAUCAAAUCCAAAUCGAACAAAUUCCCCUAACACUAAAAUGUAGUUGCUUUAUUGUAGAUAAAAACAGUAUAAUAAUAGUAUUGAUGAAAAAUCAAAUUCAUCAAAUAAGUUUAUAAAAAAUACAUGAUUUUAAUUUUAAAAAAAAAACAUGAUUUUAGUGUGUUGUAUUAGUAGUGUGUCCACGCAUUUAUAUAUUAAAAUCUAUCCUCUAAAAACUAUCGAUCUAUUUACACAACUAUUGAUCUGUCGUGCAACAAAUUCCAGGGCGAAGUUCCAAAGAGAGCUUAAAUGGCUUGCAUUGCUCAAUCUAUCUCAUAAUAGUCUUAACGACAUAUGUUUUGAAUUAUUAUUAUGAUUUCAACAAUAUUUUCAAACAUUUCUUAAUAUGUAUUUUCAAAGAAUUCUCAAGCACUUGAACAUUUGGACCGGUUCUUUCGAAGCCAGGCAAUGCACAAAAAUGUCCAAAAAUGAAUAAAUUAAGAGAGAGUAGCUCACCCUUUCAAAGCCUUCCAGGACUCAUUCCAAGUCUUCGGAGGACCACUGCCUCCCCCUUUCAAAGAUGUGAUAGUAGCUCGAGAGUGAUAUAAAUUAUUUUCCCGACAUUAAAAAUAAAAAAUCAGAUUAAAUUAAUCAAUAAUAACUUAAGGAUGAAAUCCAAAUUAAUCCUAAAUUUUGAUAAUAUAUAAAAAUUAUAAUUAUAAAUUAUAUAACCAAAUCAGAAUUGAAUUAACUUACUUGGCACUAGAAUUGCUAAAGACAGUAUAAUAAUUUAAUUGAUGAAAAGUCAAAGUCUUCUAAUAAAUCCAUAAAGAAUAUGAUAAUAUGAAAAUUAUAAUUGAAAAAUCAAAAUCAAUAGUGUAUUGGAAUAGUGUUCACACACUUAUAUAUCAAAAUUUGUGGUCCAAAAACUAUAGCACAAUAUCCUAAAUACAUCACAUUAAAUAAUAGCACAAAAAUAUUCAAUAAAUAAUUGAUUUCAUUCAUAAAUUUGUUAUUUUAAAAACUAAUAAUUUGGUUGAUGUUAACCUAUAUUUUAUAUAUAAUUUCGUCUUAUUUUAUUUUACUAGAAACAAUAUUUUUAUAAUAUUUAUUACAUUAAAUAUAUUAAAAGAUAUAAUUUUAUUAAAAAAAUUGAAUAAAAUUAAAAGGAUAAGUCUCGGCCUCUCCAAGUCUACAAGACUCAUUUCACUACAAGAAAAAUGCAUAAAAGCGACCACCUAAAUGCGUGAAUGAAAAAAUAAUUUUAGAAAAACGAAAAUAAUCAUUCGUGACAAGACUAGUUAAAAAUAAUUGUUUAAUUUUUUUGACCAUUAUGAGAAGACACUAUUAAGUCGUUAUUUUUUAUUUCUUCACAUAAUUAAAAUCAACACAUAUUAAGAUAUUUAUGAUUGAAUGGUGAAAAAAAUAAAUCAAAUAUCAUAGAUCACAAGACUAGUUAUUUAAAAUUUUUUAAUUAAUCUUUACUAUUAUAAAAAUAUAUAAAUAAAUAUUUAUUUUUAUUUCUCCACAUCACAAAAAUAAACUCAUGUUAACAUUUAUGUGUGACUCGUGAACUUUUUUAUAAAAAUCAUAAAAUAAUUAAUACUGGCAAAAGCGACCGGCUAUAAAAUGGUAGCUUUUGUUUUUAUAUUUUUUUACUUCUCUUAGGCGGGAAAAUUCCCGCUCAAACACAUGAAAGUUAAAAGCGACCGCUAGACUUAGCCGGUUGCUUUUAUAUUUAAAAGCCACCAAACAAAAGCGACCCCUCGUAAAAGCCACCAAACAAAAGCGACCGCCAAUAAAAGCUACCAAACACGGUCGCUUUUGUUUAUCAGUCAAAUCAAAUUUCUAUUUUGAGUAAAAGCCACCGCUUUCGGUGGCUUUUAUACUUGGUCGCUUUUGUUUGGUGGCUUUUAGUGUUUUUUCUUGUAGUGUUUCAAGUCCACCGAGGGCCUCAACCAUUGAGAGAUGUGAAAGUAGCUUGAGAGUGAUAUAAAUUAUUUUCAUGACAAUAUAAUUUAAUAUCCAAUAUAAAUUAAUUAAAUUAGUUAAUAAUGAAUCAAGACUAAUCAUGAAUUAUGAUAAUAAUUAAAUAAAUUAUAAAAUUAAAUUAUACAAAUAACACUAAACCUUAGUUACUUUAUUGGUAAAAUAAAUAUAAUAUAAUAAUUAAAUUGAUGAAAAAUCAAAAUCAUCUAAUAAAUUCACAAAAAAUAUAUGAUCAUUAGUAUAUUAUAUUAGUAUCCACACACUUAUAUUUCAAAAUCUAUCCUACAAAAUUAUCAUCUCUGUAAACUAGCCACAAAAAAUAAAAAUUUAAAGAUAUUAGAUAUUUAGUUAUUUUCAUUAUAUAAUUUUUCCACACUAAAUAACAAAAUAUCUUUAUCAAAUUAUUAUUUAUGAAUUAAAUAUUCAAGUUAUAAAUUGAAGUGUGCAGUAUGAUAUCAGAUUCACAUAACCCAGUUGAUCAGGAGAAACAUGGCCUACUCUGCAAAGCCUUCUCACCUUCUUCUCUUUGUUUUCUUUCUCUCAUCACUUGAAUGCAUUCUUGCAACAACACGAGAAGGAGAAGCUCUUGUGAAGUGGAAGAAUAGCCUAGCCCCUUCUUCUUUUCUCGACUCUUGGUCACUCACCAAUCUCGAUAAUCUUUGUAAUUGGACUGGCAUUACUUGUAACUCUGCAGGUUCAGUCUCUAAGAUUAACCUUUUUGAGAAACAACUUGAUGGAAUGUUGUCCGAGUUUGGUUUCACUUCAUUUCCAAAUCUCAACAAUCUCACCCUUGCAAACAACUUCUUCUCGGGUCCAAUACCGCCAGCCAUUGAGAAUUUAACACAGCUUCAAUAUCUUGAUUUGAGAAAUAAUUAUCUAGAUGGUCCCAUUCCGUUCCAGGUUAGCCAUCUUCAGAGCUUGCUCAUCUUAAACCUGUCACAGAAUGCAUUGCAAGCUCCAAAUUGGUCCCAUUUCUCUCCCAUGCCUUUCUUGCGCAUCCUCAACCUCAGUUACAAUCCUCUUGCGUCGAAAUUCCCAUAUUUUAUAUCCAAUUCUCAUAGCCUGACUCACCUUAGCCUUAAUUAUAACGAGUUUACUGGUGAUUUAGUACGUGAAUCAGUAUUUGCCAAUCUGCAUAAUCUUGAAGUCCUCAGUCUUGUUGGCAAUUCUUUUGAGGGGUCAUUUCCGCCAGAUAUAUUCAAGCUUUCCAAAUUAAAACGUCUUGCCCUGUCAAGUAACAAAUUUUCAGGUUCAAUUCCCAAUGACUUAAGGUUGCUUCAUGAUCUUGAAUCCCUGUAUUUAGGCAACAAUUCCUUUGAAGGACCGCUUCCACCAAAUAUAUUCAAGCUUUCAAAAUUAAAAAAUCUUGUUAUUUGGAGUAAUAAGUUUUCAGGUUCUGUUUCCAAUGAUAUAGGUUUGCUUUCUGAGCUUGAAACCCUCGAUCUUAACUCUAAUUUUUUUGAGGGGCCGCUUCCGCCAAAUGUAUUCAAGCUCUCCAAACUAAGGUUUCUUCACCUCUGGGGUAAUAACUUUUCAGGUUCUAUUUCCAAUAAUAUAGGUUUGCUUUCUGAGCUUGAAACCCUCGAUCUUAACUCUAAUUUUUUUGAGGGGCCGCUUCCGCCAAAUGUAUUCAAGCUCUCCAAACUAAAGUUUUUUGCCCUUCGUGAGAAUAACUUUUCAGGUUUUAUUUCUAAGGAUAUAGGUUUGCUUUCCCAACUUGAAAGCCUCUAUCUUGGCUCUAAUUUUUUUGAGGGGCCGCUUCCCCCACAUAUAUUUAGGCUCUCCAAAUUAAGAGAUCUGGACCUCUCAGACAAUAGAAAUUUAUUUGAAGGAAGUAUUCCUAUUGGACUGGGACUCUUGACUAAUUUCAGCUUCUUAGAUCUAAAUUCCAAUAAUCUCGGUGGCUAUAUUCCAUCUGACAUUGGAAACCUGAAGCUACUAGUAUAUCUUGAUCUCAGUUCUAAUCAAUUGACUGGACAGCUUUCAAAGAUCAUUUCUAAUCUCACAAAUCUUAUAAGUCUUGAUGUAAGUUAUAAUAGUUUUAGUGGAAAUAUUCAGAGUGACUUGUGGAACUUCCCUAAGGAAUAUAACAAUCAUCCAACUUUGGAAUACAUCGCUUUUAAGUGGGAACCAUUUUACAGGUAUAUUUUCUCUAUAUAUCUUUUCCUUUUCUCAUAUGUAACUAAGCUAGUAAUCUGAUUAUUGCUGUUUUACCAAAUUUUAACAAUCUUGACAGGUGAGCUUCCAACAACAAUUUGCAAUGUCACUUCCCUUUCAAUUCUUGAUUUGUCAAAUAAUGAAUUAAGUGGUGAACUUCCAAACUGUUUCGGGAAUCUUGCUGAUGGAUUGCUUUACAUUAAUCUUGCUAAUAAUCAGUUUCGAGGAACAAUACCAACUACUUUCUCCAGGAGUUGUCAGCUGACAUGCAUAUCUAAACAUGGAUAAUAAUGAGUUUGAAGGAUUGAUGCCCCCAUCUUUGGCGAACUGUAAGCACUUGAAAAUUCUUGAUAUAGGCAAUAAUAAAAUAGGUGGUACAUUUCCGUCAUGGCUUUAUGCACUUGGAGAGCUAGAAGUUCUUGUCUUGCGAUCAAAUAAACUCUAUGGUACAAUAAGUGGAAGGAGCACAGAAGAUCCCUUCCCCAAGUUGCGGAUUAUGGAUUUGUCCAACAAUCAAUUCACAGGCCAUUUGCCAAUUCAAUACUUUAAGAAUAUGAAAUCAACUGAUAAUUUGUAUCGUUUUCAGAAUGUGACAGCAGUUUUUACUAUCCAUUAUGAAGCAGCAGUCUCAUUAACUGUGAAGGGAACAGAGUAUGAAGUGACAAAUAACCUUCAUAUUUACACAGCUAUUGAUCUGUCGUGCAACAAAUUUCAGGGUGAAAUUCCAAAAGUUAUUGGAGAGCUUAGAUGGCUUGCAUUGCUCAACUUAUCGCAUAAUAGUCUGACAGGACAUAUCCCGUCAUUGCUGAGAAAUAUGAAAGAACUCCAAUCUUUAGAUUUGUCCUCAAAUCAACUGACAGGGGCUAUUCCACCUCAGUUAACUGCACUGACAUUUCUAGAAGUCUUAAACCUCUCGGGAAACCAUCUUAGUGGAGAGAUUCCUCAGAAAGGACAAUUCAGCACAUUCAACAAUGAUUCUUAUCUAGGAAACUCCGCAUUAUGUGGAUCACCAUUGAUGAAGAAAUGUGCAAACACAGCAUCACCUCCACAAGAAGUCGGAAAUGGUGAUGAAGAUGAUGCUGGAGAUGAAUUGACAUGGGAAGCAAUCGUGAUGGGAUAUGGAUGUGGACUGAUAUGUGGAUUGUCAUCUGCAUACAUUGUUCUCAAACUAGGAAAGCCUUGGUGGUUUGUGAGAUAUAUCGAAGUGCUGCAACUGAAGUUGAUGAAAAGAUAUGCAUGAAGAAUGGUACUGGCCAAUCAAGACCAACUUGAAAGUUGUUGGACAUUUCUGAACCAGUAGUGUACUAUUCUCUUUGUGGCUGCAUAAGUUUUUGGUAUUGGUGUAAUAUUUUGUUUGGUCUUGAAUCAUAAUGAUUUUUCUUUUUUCAGGGGUAUUAAUAUAAACCUUGGUAUUGUGUAAUAUUCUGUUUGAUCAAUGUUUAUAUCAGUAAUUAUAUGCUCCUCACUGCAUCAUGCAGCUCUCAUAAUAUUAUUAUUAUUAUUAUUAUUAUUAUUAUUAUUAUUAUUAUUAUUAUUAUUAUUAUUAUUAUUAUUAUUAUUAUUAUUAAUUGAUUACACACUCACACGUGGGGAGUCGACCUCCCGACCUCCAGCAAAGGGGUAAAAGAGCUCUCAUAUUAUCUUCAUAUGUGUAUUAUUUGGAUAUCAAAGUUGCAGGGACAUAUGGAUAUGUGUUAACAGGGACUGCUCGGUCUUGGACGGACUCUUUCCAAGUCCUCUGGGGUCCUAUCGAUUCAAAUUAGUCUAUUAUCUGCAUACUAGCUAAUUUGUCCAACUCGGGCUUCAAUAGUAAAGAUAAUAGGUGCGAGUUGAGUUUCUCAAAGUAUGAGUACAAUAUCGUUUUUUAAUGAUAGUUAGGGGGUGUGAUAUGCAAUUACCUCAAAAAUAUAUGAUCAUUAGUAUAUUAUAUUAGUAUCCACACACUUAUAUCUCAAAAUCUAUCCUCCAAAAUUAUCAUCUCUAUAGGCUAGCCACAUAAAAUAAAAAUUUAAAGAUAUUAGAUAUUUAGUUAUUUUCAUCAUAUAAUUUUUCCAUGCAAAAUAACAAAAUAUCUUUAUCAACUUAUUAUUUAUGAGUUAAAUAUUCAAGUUAUAUAAUUCGGGCAUGCUGGGUAUAAAUAGAAGUGUAACGCCUAAUUUCCGGGGUCUGGGAGUAGUUGGCGGGGUAUGAGAGAGCAGGCUAUUCAGAAGUCUUGGUCAUGAAAACUUCCAAGCUAACUUCGACAACGGAAUCUUCUGAGGCUACUAUUCUAAAGCACGCAUAAUCAUUGUAUUCAUAUUCCUCUCACACUGACAAAAAGUCUAUUUAAGCAAAUGAAAUACAAACAACUGAGUGGAAUGCUGACCGAAAAUCUUUUUGGCUGAGCUUAUGAGUUAUUAGUACAUGAUUAAUAUGAUAAGCUAAGCUGAGAGCAUAAGAUAUCGUUUGUAUAAUUUUGUGUUUAUUAAUGACUUAUAAAUUAUUAAAAAUAUAAUAAGAAAAAUAAAAAUGUUUUAUAACUAAUUUAUGUUUCAUGAGUAAUUUUUAUUAGAAAAAAGUUUUAAAAAAUUAUUUCACUGGAAAAAAACCUCCAACUAACUUUUGGCUCUAAAGUCAGUUUGUGACUUAUUUCUGACUUUAAAUCGGCUUCUCACUUUUACACAAACAAAAAUUUUUCAGCUUAAAGUUAAAAACAACUUUAAGCUCCGGUUUUAAACCUCGACAAACAUGCUCUGAGUUUGGUUUCACUUCAUUUACAAACCUCAACAAUUUCACCAUCAAACACAAUGACUUCUCCAAUCUCCGGUCAAGUACCACCAGCCAUUGAGAAUUUGGCACAACUUCAAUUCCAUACCAGGUUAGUCAUCUUCGGAGAUUACACGUCUUAGACCUGUCAAAUACAAAUUUCAAUCUCCAAACUGGUCCGACUUAUCUUCUAUGCUUUUUGUUGAGUCCGGCUCAUCUAAAGCCUUAAGAUGUUAGAAGAAGCCCCCAAUGAAUCUUAUAUAUGCUAUAUUUUAACAAUUCUGAGCACACUCAACCUUGGUAUUAAUAAUAUUGUGUCGAAAAUUCCAGAAUUUAUAUCUAAUUCUCAUAGCCUAACUUUCCUUGACCUUUCCAUAUAACAAAUUUACAGUUAAUCCUGUGCUUGAAUCAGUAUUUGCAACCAAAAUUAUGCAAUUAUAGUGCAGGUAGUCUUCCAGUUCUUCCUACUCUAUGCUAUAAUUUCAUUUGAUACCAAUAAUUUUACGCUCUACACUCCAGGAUGAGCUCGCAUAUUAUUGACAGCUAUAAUCCUUCCAACAAUUUGCGAUGCAAAGCAGGGGGGCGCCUGUAUUUUCAUAUGUCUAUAUUAUUGGAGAUUAAAGUUGUAUGGACAAUUGUGUUGAUAAUUUGCCCAAUGUUAACAGGGAUAGGUUGGCUUAAUUUGCCCAAUGUUAACAGGGAUAGGUUGGCUUAAUUUGCCCAAUGUUAACAGGGAGAUUAAAUGGCUUGCAUUGCUCAACGUAUAUCUCAUAAUAGUCUUACCGGACAUAUGUUAUGCAUUAUUAUUAUGCUUUCAUCACUAUUUUCAAACAUUUCUCAAUAUAUAUUUUCAAAGAAUUCUCAAGCACUUGAACAUUUGGACCGGUUCUUUCGAAGCCAAGAUGCCCAGGGUAUCAUGGCCAUGCACAAAAAUGAAUAAAUUAAGAGAGAUUGCUCAGGGUCUCCCCAAGCCUUUCAGGACUCAUUCCAAGUCUUCGAGGACCACUGCCUCACUCUUUCAAAGAUGUGAUAGUAGCUCGAGAGCGAUAUAAAUGAUUUUCCUGACACUAAAAAUAAAAAAAUCAGAUCAAAUUAAUCAAUAAUAAAUUAAAGAUGCAAUCCAAAUUAAUCCUAAAUUUUGAUGAUAUAUAAAAAUUAUAAUUAUAAAUUAUAUAACCAAAUCAGAAUUGAAUUAACUUACUUGGUACUAAAAUUGAUAAAAACAGUAUAAUAAUUUAAUUGAUGAAAAUUCAAAGUCUUCUAAUAAAUCCAUAAAAAAUUUGAUAAUCAAAAUAACGAAAAUUAUAAUUGAAAAAUCAAAAUCAAUAGUGUAUUGGAAUAUUGUUCACACACUUAUAUAUCAAAAUUUGUGGUCCAAAAACUAUAGCACAAUAUCCUAAAUACACCACAUUAAAUAAUAGUUCAAAAAUAUUCAAUAGAUAAUUGAUUUCAUUCAUAAUUUUGUUAUUUUAAAAACUAAUAAUUUGGUUGAUGUUAACCUAUAUUUUAAUAUAUAAUUAUAUUAUUUUCAUCUUAUUUUAUUUAACCAGAAACAAUAUUUUUAUAAUAUUUAUUACAUUAUUUAUAUUAAAAAAUAUAAUUUCAUUAAAAAAAUUGAAUAAAAUUAAGAGGAUAACUCUAUGCCUCUCCAAGUCUACAAGACUCAUUUCAAGUCUACCUCGGACCACUACCUCAACCAUUCAGAGAUGUGAAAGUAGUUUGAGAGUGACAUAAAUUAUUUUCGUGACAAUAAAAUUUAAUAUCUAAUAUAAAUUAAUUAAAUUAGAUAAUAAUAAAUCAAAACUAAUUAUGAAUUAUGAUAAUAAUUAAAUAAAUUAUAAUUAAAUUAUAUAAAUCAACUCCAAAUGAUACAAAUAACACUAAACCUUGGUUACUUUGUUGGUAAAUAAAUAUAAUAUAAUAAUCAAAUUGAUGAGAAAUGAAAAUCAUCUAAUAAAUUCACAAAAAAUAUAUGAUCAUUAGUAUAUUAUAUUAGUAUCCACACACUUAUAUUUCAAAAUCUAUCCUCCAAACUUAUCAUCUCCGUAAACUAGCCACAUAAAAUAUAAAUUUAAAGAUAUUAGAUAUUUAGUUAUUUUCAUUAUAUAAUUUUUCCACACUAAACAACAAAAUAUUUUUAUCAAAAUUAUUAUUUAUGAGUUAAAUAUUCAAGUUAUAAUUCCAGCAUGCAGCGUAUAAAUAGAAGUGUGCAGUAUGAUAUCAGAUUCAUAACCCAGUUGAUCAGAAGAAACAUGGCCUACUCUGCAAAGCCUUCUCACCUUCUUCUCUUUGUUUUCUUUCUCUCAUCACUUGAAUCCAUUCUUGCAACAACACGAGAGGGAGAAGCUCUUGUGAAGUGGAAGAAUAGCCUAGCCCCUUCUUCUUUUCUCGACUCUUGGUCACUCACCAAUCUCGAAAAUCUUUGUAACUGGACUGGCAUUACUUGUAACUCUGCAGGUUCAGUCUCUGAGAUUAACCUUUUUGAGAAACAACUUAAUGGAAUGCUGUCCGAGUUCGGUUUCACUUCAUUUCCAAAUCUCAACAAUCUCACCCUCGCAUACAACUUCUUCUCGGGUCCAAUACCACCAGCCAUUGAGAAUUUAACACAGCUUCAAUAUCUUGAUUUAAGCAUGAAUAGUCUUAAUGGUCCCAUUCCGUUCCAGGUUAGCCAUCUUCAGAGUUUGCUCAUAUUAAACCUGUCACAGAAUGCAUUGCAAGCUCCAAAUUGGUCCCAUUUCUCUCCCAUGCCUGUUUUGCGCUUCCUCAAGCUCAGUAGAAAUCCUCUUGUGUCGAAAUUCCCAAAUUUUAUAUCCAAUUCUCAUAGCCUGACUUAUCUCAACCUUUCACAUAACAAGUUUAGUGGUGAUCUUGUACGUGAAUCAGUAUUUACCAAUCUGCAUCAUCUUGAAGUCCUCAGUCUUGUUGGCAACUCUUUUGAGGGGUCAUUUCCGCCAGAUAUAUUCAAGCUUUCCAAAUUAACACGUCUUGCCCUGUCAAGUAACAAAUUUUCAGGUUCAGUUCCCAACGACAUAAGGUUGCUUUGUGGUCUUGAAUACCUAUAUUUAGCUGACAAUUCCUUUGAAGGACCGCUUCCACCAGAUAUAUUCAAGCUUUCAAGAUUAAAACAUCUUGUUCUUUGGAGUAAUAAGUUUUCAGGUUCUGUUUCCAAUGAUAUAGGUUUGCUUUCUGAGCUUGAAGCCCUCAAUCUUGACUCUAAUUUUUUUGAGGGGCCGCUUCCCCUAAAUUUAUUCAAGCUCUCCAAACUAAAAUUUCUCACCCUGACAAGUAACAAAUUUUUAGGUUCAAUUCCCAAUGACAUAAGGUUACUUUGUGAUCUUGAAUACCUAUAUUUAGGCAACAAUUCCUUUGAAGGACCGCUUCCACCAAAUAUAUUCAAACUUUCAAAAUUAAAAGAUCUUGUUCUUUGGGGUAAUAAGUUUUCGGGUUCUGUUUCCAAUGAUAUAGGUUUGCUUUAUGAGCUUGAAACCCUCGAUCUUAACUCUAAUUUUUUUGAGGGGCCGCUUCCGCCAAAUUUAUUCAAGCUCUCCAAACUAAAGAUUCUUUCCCUUUAUAAGAAUAACUUUUCAGGUUUUAUUUCUAAGGAUAUAGGUUUGCUUUUCGAACUUGAAAGCCUCUAUCUUGGCUCUAAUUUUUUUGAGGGGCUGCUUCCCCCACAUGUAUUUAGGCUCUCCAAAUUAAGAGAUCUGGGUCUCUCAGACAAUAGAAAUUUAUUUGAAGGAAGUAUUCCUAUUGGACUGGGACUCUUGACUAACCUCAGGUACUUAGAUCUACAUUCCAAUAAUCUCGGUGGCUAUAUUCCAUCUGACAUUGGAAACCUGAAGCUACUAGUACUUCUUGAUCUCAAUUCUAACCAAUUGACUGGACCGCUUUUAAAGAUCGUUUCUAAUCUCACAAAUCUUAUGUUUCUUGAUGUAAGUGAUAAUAGUCUUAGUGGAAAUAUUCAGAGAGACUUGUGGAACUAUAACGAUCAUCCAACUUUGGAAUUCAUCAAUUUAAGUGGGAACCAUUUUACGGGUAUAGUUUUUCUCUAUAGAUCUUUCCUUUUGUCAUAUGUAACUAAGCUAGUAAUCUGAUUAAUUGCAGUUUUACCAAAGUUUCAACAAUCUUGACAGGUGAGCUUCCAACAACAAUUUGCAAUGUCACUUCCCUUUCGGUUCUUGAUUUGUCAAAUAAUGCAUUAAGUGGUGCACUUCCAAACUGUUUCGGGAAUCUUGCUGAUGGAUUGCUUUACAUUAAUCUUGCUAAUAAUCAGUUUCGAGGAACAAUACCAACUACUUUCUCCAGGAGUUGUCAGCUGACAUAUCUGAACAUGGAUGAUAAUCAGUUUGAAGGAUUGUUACCCCCAUCUUUAGCGAACUGUAAGCACUUGAGAAUCCUUGAUAUGGGCAACAAUAAAAUAGGUGAUACAUUUCCGUCAUGGCUUUAUGUACUUGGAGCGCUAGAAGUCCUUGUCUUGCGAUCAAAUAAACUCUAUGGUACAAUAAGGGCAAGGAGCAUAGAAGAUCCCUUCCCCAAGUUGCGGAUUGUGGAUCUGUCCAACAAUCAAUUCAUGGGCCAUUUGCCAAUUCAAUACUUUAAGAAUAUGAAAUCAAAUGAUAAUUUGUAUCGUUAUCUGAAUUCCACAGGAGAAAUAGAUAUCUCUUAUGAAGCAGCAGUCUCAUUAACUGUGAAGGGAACAGAGUAUGAAGUAGCAAAUAACCUUCAUAUUUACACAGCCAUUGAUCUGUCGUGCAACAAAUUUCAGGGAGAAAUUCCAAAGGUUGCCGGAGAGCUUAGAUGGCUUGCAUUGCUCAAUUUAUCUCAUAAUAGUCUAACAGGACCUAUCCCAUCAUUGCUGAGAAAUAUGAAAGAACUCCAAUCUUUAGAUUUGUCCUCAAAUCAACUGACAGGGGCUAUUCCACCUCAGUUAACUGCAUUGACAUUUCUAGAGGUCUUAAAUCUCUCGAACAACGAUCUCAGUGGAGAGAUUCCUCAGAAAGGACAGUUCAGCACAUUCAACAAUGAUUCUUAUCUAGGAAACUCCGCGUUAUGUGGAUCACCAUUGACGAAGAAAUGCGCAAACACAGCAUCACCUCCACAAGAAGUCAGAAAUGGUGAUGAAGAUGAUGCUGGUGAUGAAUGGACAUGGGAAGCAAUCGUGAUGGGAUAUGGAUGUGGACUGAUAUGUGGAUUGUCAUCUGCGUACAUUGUUCUCAAACUAGGAAGGCCUUGGUGGUUUGUGAGAUAUGUCGAAGUAUUGCAACUGAAGUUGAUGAAAAGAUAUGCUUGAAGAAUGGUAUUUGGUCUUGUACUAGCUGCAUAAGUAUUUGGCAUUGUGUAGUAUUCUGUUUGGUCUUGAAUUAUAAUGAUUUUUCUUGCUUCAGGGGUAUUAAUAUAAACCUUGCUAUCUUGCUCAGUGUUAAUGCAAAUUAAGAUGAAUGAAUAAACAAAAAAUAUGCAUCAAAUUAAGAAUUCAGAAAUGGUGAUACUCAUGCAGUGUCACCAACUCAAGAAUUCAGAAAUGGUGAUACUCAUGAAGAUGACGAUGCUGAUGAUGAACUUUGAUGUGGGACUUGGGUUGACCACUUGUUGGGCCGCACAACACCUGUUAAGCAUUAGUAUGACGUUGUCCGCUCUGGAUCGUGACCAAGCCCGCACGGAUUUGUUUUCGAGCUCCUCUCAAAAGGUCUAAAACUAAUGGAGUUGUUUGGCUGCUUAUAUUCAAGAUAAAUCUUUUUGAUGUGGGAUUUGGGUUGACACCCACACAACAAGACGUGAGGAAAUAUUGUUGUCUUGAGAUGACAUAUGUUCUGAAUUAUUAUUAUGCUUUCAACAAUAUUUUCAAACAUUUUUCAAUAUGUAUUUUUAAAGAAUUCUCAAGCACUCGUGACCCCUAUAAUUUUUUCUCAGGCAACGCCUAUAGUUUCAAAGAAUUCCCAGGCACUUAAACAUUUGGACCGGUUCUUUGGAAGCCAAGAUGCCCAGGUUAUCAUGGCCAUGCACAAAAUGCAGUACCAAAGAAAAAAAAUAAUAAAUUAAGAGAGAUUGCUCUGGGUCACCCCAAGCCUUCGAGGACUCAUUCCAAGCCUCGCCCUUUCAAAGAAGUGAUAGUAGCCGGAAAGUGAUAUAAAUUAUUCUCCGGACACUAAAACUAAAUAAUCAGAUCAAAUUAAUCAAUAAUAAAUUAAAGAUAUGAAAUCAAAAUUAAUCCUAAAUUUUGAUAAUAUACAAAAAUUAUAAUUAUAAAUUUUAUUAUCAAAUCAAGAUUAAAUUAACUUACAUGGCCGUUAAAAUUGAUAAACGCAAUAUAAUAGGGUUAAAAAUGGGGCGGGUUCGGGACGGGUACUUCAUUUCCCAGCCUCGUCCCAUAUAUAUUUUUCCUGCCCCGUCUCCGCCCCAUUCUCCACGAAGAUUUAUUUUUAAUCCCCAUUGCCGCCCGCCCCACCGGGGAUUGAAUAUAAUUUCGCCCCGCCCCGCUGCUAUAAUAUUACACUUUAAUUAAUUACCUUAAAAUUUAAUAAUCAGAAUUUAAUAAAAAUAUACGAGACAUGUAUAUUAAAAGCAAAAAACUAAAUAUAAUAGAAAUCAAAGAGACAUGUUAUACAUUGUAAAAUUAUAGUUUUAUGUAUUAUAUAAUAGAUAAUAUUAAAUAUAUUAUAUUAAAUAUAAUUAUUUAUUUUUAUUAAAUAUAUGCGGGGCGGGGUGGGGAAUCCCCGCGGGAAUUCAACAAAUACCAUGCUUGCCCCAUAUUUUAGCGGGGCAGAUAAUCAUUCUCCGUCACUACCCCAUUCCCCAUAGAGUAGUGCUAGAUGCACAAAAUUGGAUACAUAAUUUUACACAAAAUGACAUGGCAAUCUAGGUGGAGAGCUUUAAUUGGUAUUAUUAAUGCAUGUGCAGGGGCUCAUUCCAAUCACAAAUUGACACAUACUCAUUCUGUGAAUAUUUCUGUACUCAAUUCUGUGCAGGUAGCAUUUUUCUUCCCCAUAUUAGCGGGGCGCAUCGGCUCCAUUCGGGGCGGGUUCCCCAUUUUCCCCACCCAAUUUUUAACCCUACAAUAGUAAUCAAAUUGAUGAAAAGUCAAAGUCCUCUAAUAAAUCCAUAAAGAAUAUGAUAAUCAAAACUACAAAAAUUAUAAUUGAAAAAUCAAAAUCAUCCUAAUAAGUUCAUAGAAUAUAUAUGAUCAGUAGAGCAUUAGAAUAGUGUUCACACACUUAUAUGUCAAAAUUUGUGGUCCAAAGACUAUGACACAAUAUCCUAAAUACACCCCCAUUGAAUAGUAGUUCAAAAUAUUUAAUAUAUAAUUGUUUUCAUUCAUAAUUUUGUUAUUAUUUAAAAAAUAAUAAUUUAAUUGCUGUUAACCUUUAUUUUAAUAUAUAAUCAUAUCGUUUCCUUACAAUUUAAUUAUCUAGAAACAAUAUUUUUGUUAUAAUCAUUACAUUAAUUAUAUUAAAAAAUAUAAUUUUGUUAAAACAUUGAAUGAAAUUAAGAGUAUUAAUCUACGUCUCUCCAAGUCUACAGGACUCAUUCCAAGUCUGCGUGAGACCACUGCCACCACCUUUGAGAGAUGUGGAAGUGGAAGUAGCUUCAGAUUGACCUAAAUUAUUUCCUGACAAUAAAUUUAAUAUCCGAAAUAAAUUAAAUUAAACUAGUUUUUUGAAACAAUUAAAUUAAACUAGUUAAUAAUAAAUUAAGAAUAUAUAAAAUCAAAACUAAUCAUGAAUUAUGAUAAUAAUUAAAUAAAUUAUAAUUAAGCUAUAUAAAUCAACUCCAAAUGACACCAACAGCACCAAACCUUAGUUACUUUAAUAUUGGUAAAUAAAUAUAAUAUAAUAAUCAAUUGAUGAAAAAUCAAAUCAUCUAAUAAAUUCACAAAAAAUAUAUGAUCAUUAGUAUAUUAUAUUAGUAUCCACACACUUAUAUUUCAAAAUCUAUCCUCCAAAAUUAUCAUCUCGAUAAACUAGCCACAUAAAAUAAAAAUUUAAAGAUAUUAGAUAUUUAGUUAUUUUCAUUAUAUAAUUUUUCCACACUAAAUAACAAAAUAUUUUUAUCAAAUUAUUAUUUAUGAGUUAAAUAUUCAAGUUAUAAAUCCAGCAUGCAGCGUAUAAAUAGAAGUGUGCAGUAUGAUAUCAGAAUCAUAACCCAGUUGAUCAGGAGAAACAUGGCAUACUCUGCAAAGCCUUCUCACCUUCUUCUCUUUGUUUUCUUUCUCUCAUCACUUGAAUCCAUUCUAACAACACGAGAGGGAGAAGCUCUUGUGAAGUGGAAGAAUAGCCUAGCCCCGUCUUCUUUUCUCGACUCUUGGUCACUCACCAAUCUCGAUAAUCUUUGUAACUGGACUGGCAUUACUUGUAACUCUGCAGGUUCAGUUUCUGAGAUUAACCUCUGUGAGAAACAACUUGAUGGAAUGCUGUCCGAGUUCGGUUUCACUUCAUUUCCAAAUCUCAAGAAUCUCACCCUGGCAGACAACUUCUUCUCGGGUCCAAUACCACCAGCCAUUGAGAAUUUAACACAGCUUCAAUAUCUUGAUUUAAGCAUGAAUAGUCUUAAUGGUCCCAUUCCGUUCCAGGUUAGCCAUCUUCAGAGUUUGCUCAUAUUAAACCUGUCACAGAAUGCAUUGCAAGCUCCAAAUUGGUCCCAUUUCUCUCCCAUGCCUGUUUUGCGCUUCCUCAAGCUCAGUAGAAAUCCUCUUGUGUCGAA